GGACGCCCGAGGGGCUCCGGGCGGUGGCGCGCAGGGCCCGGGCGGCCGGCGGCGGCCCCGGGGCUGGGGGAGUCCAGCCCGGAUAUUGAGUGCAGCCAUUGAGAAAAGCCAAACUCUUGUGUGUGCGCGUCUCGAAUAGCCCCCAAGAUGGCCGCCAAUGUGGGAUCGAUGUUUCAAUAUUGGAAGCGAUUUGAUCUACGGCGACUCCAGGAAGGGCUGACAGAGGAGGUGACUCAGCGAAGGGGAGACGGUUUGAAAUCAGGAGAGAGCUGCCGAGGGAAGCCAGGAAGCUCAGUGCGUGUGUCCAUGUGAGCGUAAGCUUGGCCUCUCCCUCCCAGGCCGAGAGCCCAGCCACCAGGAGUUGGGCAAUGUGGAUUGCUACUCCCCACCUCCCUUUCCUGGCACACAGCAGGAGAAAAGUGAGUACUUUGGAGCCACACAGAAGCCUGCCUCUGUCAUUUCCUAGCUAGGGGACCUUGUGCCAGUGGCUUCACAUCUCUGUGACUCAGUUUCCCUGUCUGUGAAGUGGCUGAACAAUAGAGCUGUUCAGAGGACUAGAAUUUUGCUGAAUAGUAGUUGCUGGCAGCUCCAAGUACAGUGAAGCUGUGCGUAGCUAAUAAUGAGUCUUAAUUGUGGGCGGACCCAGGAGCAAAGUGCACAGGGGUGCAAAGGAAGUAGUGAUGGAUUUUGACUCAGGCGAUCCUGGAAUGCUUGUAGGGAUGGGGCUUGAAUCACAUCACUUCUGACAACAUGAUAAAGAGGUGGGAGCAGGAGAAAGUUUUCUGUUUCAGGAUAGUGUAGGCAGAAAGGCAGGCAGGUAUAGAGGCUCUGGUGAGAUGGGAGGACACCUGUUGUAGAGGACGGCCAGGAGAGAGGGACAGCUGGGGACAGGGCAAGGUAAGGAUGUUGCAGAAGGGAGUCAGAGGAUUGUCAGGUCGGCCACUCCACUGAUGGACCCCUGUUGAUCGACUGCGUGGUUGAUCCAUUUUACAGGUGAGAAAAUGGAGGCGCUCGGUCACUUGUACAGGUGCACCCAAAUGUGCAGUUUUCUGUAACGCUAGCCCUGGCCCCCUCCUCCAUCAUGUUCAAGGCCUGGCAAAGCCCUGGGCAAUCUUCCUGCCCUCACCCAGCCCACCCACCUGGUGUGGCUCGAACUUCCCAAACCCCAAAUGAGUUUCUCCUUUUCGGAGACCUUUUUGACACUCAACUGGCUGUAUCCAUGCCUCCUCACAAUUCUCUGCCUAAUUUAAUUGGGCAAAGAUGUCAUGUAGACAUCACUUACAAUUCUUUUUCCUGUGCUCCCAGCUGAAUUUUUUGGUUGCCUCUGAGAAUUCCCCAAGUGUGGGCUUCAGCUGGGCAGCGCCUGAUGCUCCACUGCCCACCUUGGUUACUCUGUCCUCCUGGCAUGGGGAAGGUAGAGGUGUAGGGGCAUCUGCCUUGAUAGGCCGAGCCCCCACCCCUAGGUGGGAGGCCAGUGUGUGCAGAGAGGGAAAAGGUCUGGGAUGGGACUUGUGAGCUCCGGUGAGAAGAAUGCCUGAAGGUACAGUUCAUAAAGACAAAAAACAAAUAAAUGAGAUAAGCUAAUUGGGGAAGGUUUCACAUGUAAUCUAUUUAAAAGUCUUACUUUUUAACUUUUCAUUUUCAGACAGUUGCAAAAAAAUUUACAAAAAGUUGCAAAGACAGAAUUCAUGAUUUCUUGAAUGCUAACAUCCAGCUUAAACACAGAACAAUAACAAGAUCAGGAAGCUAACGGGGUGGAGCCCUAUUAUUACUCAGCUCUAACUCACACUUGCAUUUGUCCCUUCUGCCAGUCUGGGGUGCAUUUCUGGGUCCUAUAUCACACUGAGUUGUCCUGUUCCUCUAACCUGGAACCAGUUCUUUAGUCUCUUGUCUUUGGCGAUCUUGACACUUUUAGUGCAAACUGGCUGUUUAUUGUGUACAUGUCCAUCUAUUUGGGGCAUCGGGAGUUUAUUCGUGUUCAGACUCAGGCUGUGCUACAGGAGGGGCCUGGGUGCUGCUCCGAGCAUCGUGGUGGGAGCUGCCUGUUCUCAGCCCACCCCACCACCUGGGAUGUCGUCACCCUUGGCCACUUACUCUAGGAGAUGCCCGAGAGGAUCCUCUACUGAAACGUUAUGUUUUCCCUUUAUAAUUAAUAAGUAUCUUGUGGGGAGACACUUGGAGACAAUGUAAUGCUCUGUUUCUCAUCAUUCUUCUGUCCACUAAUUUAAGCAUCUGUUGAUGCCUCCUGCCUAAAAACAGUUAUGGCCUUGGUGUUUGCCAAAUGGCAAUUUUCUAUUUCCAUCAUUACUUUUUACAUUUAUUAGUUGAAGAGCUUUCCAUCUUCCCCCAAUUAUUUAUAUAUCCAAUUGUCUAUUAUUUAUUUGUGUUAGUAUAGAUUCAUAGGGUAUUUUUUUUUAAGUACUGAGGAUCAGAUCCAGAGACCCUCCACCGCUGAGCUGCAUCCCCAGCCCUUUUUAUUAUUAUUAUUUGGGGACAGGGUCUUGCUAGGUUGCCCAGGCAGGACUUAAACUUGCAACCCUCCUGUCUCAGCCACCUUAAGUGCAUUUCUCUCCCUACCCCAGCUCUGUCUCUCUCUUACUCCCAUCCCCACUCUUUUCCUGUCUUCCCUCUCCUUUCUUCCUGCCCUCCCUUCCCUCUGGGUCCCCAUCCCACCUUCCUCUGUCUUUGUUUCUCUUCCUCUCUUUAUUUUUCUUGCCAAAGAAGCCAAAUUAUUUGUCCAGGAGGGUUUCUCUCCACCGGACUUGACUGAGCACGUCCCCGUGGUGUCAUUUAACACUCUCUUCUAGCCCCCGAGUCUCCUGUUAACUGGUGAUGGCCCCAACAGGCUUGAUCGGAUGCAGGUUUGAUAUUUUUGGCAAGACUACAUGGCAUGUGGCUGUAUGUCCUUCCCUCAGGAAGCGCGUGAGGUCUGGCUGCCUCCCUCUCUGUGACAUUGAGAUUGAUUGGUGGAGCUGUCAGCCUGAUCCAUCCGUUGUCAGGUUCCCCAGCAGCUUUCUAUGCUGGGUUUUGUGCCCACUGAUACUCACUGCCUGGGUCCAUUAAUUCAUUAGGAGCUGGUGAACAUGGAUAUGCUGAUUCUGUCCCUCCUCCUCUCAGUCUUAGCUAGGAGAUUGCUGUACAGAGAAACCACCCCUCAUCAAUUAUUUGCUUACCCCGAAGGGAAGUGUGUCCAGGAAAGAGAAGAUAAAUGCUUAGUUCUUUCCCUUUAUCUGCCAGUUUUCAAAAUAAGCUAGUUCCCAGACAUCUUUCAAAGGUGGUCAAAGAAAGUUUUAAAAAAAUAUCAUUCAAAAGCUGGGCACAGUGGUGCACACCUGUGAUCCUAGCAUUUGGAAAGCUGAGGCAGGAGGAUUGUGCAUUUGAGACCAACCUGAACUACAUAGUGAGAAUCUGUCAAAAAACAAAAAACCCCACACGAACAAAAAGUCAUUAGAAGCCCGUGGAGAAGCUCAUGGACACAGGUGUAAUGGAACUGCCUUAAUCCAUUUCCGUUACAAUUGUUACUUGUGUUCAGGCCGCCCCAUCUCAGACAUGUGGGGGUUUCUGCUCCUGACAUCAGCUCCUGAACCCCCUGGGCCUCCUUGGUGGCCUUGGAGGCUUCCUUGCUUUCUGGGAGAACAAGUUGUUCCAAGUCCACCGUGUACAUUUGGAGCCACGGUGUUAGAGACCACAGUCCUGGUGUGGAAUGAAUGUUCAGAACACCUGGAGCCAUGCAGCUGGGAUCAUUUUCACAGGACCUCAGUGGAUGGGAUGAUGGAGAAAAGGGCAAAGCGGUGGCUUUGAAUUUGGAUCUUGUCUCCUUCCUAGCCCUGUCACAGCCCUCCCCAAAGGAUCCCUUUAUUCACUUUUACUCCAGCUUCUUCAUUUAGAAAACACUAGUGGAUCUCCCCUAUCCAGCUCCUCACUCCUGCUGGUGUUUUCUUGGGGAACGUCUUUGAGAUCAAAGACAUCUAGAAGAGGGAGGCCACCUGUGGUCCCUCAGUCCACAUUUGGGUCCUGCUGUGCUUUGCUGUGUUGUUGACUUGUCACUGCUGUUUGCCUCAUGGUGUCUUUGGGGGUGCGGAGUAACAAGAGAAUUCACCGAGGGACCCCUUCUUCCCCAUCAAAUCCAGACCAGAAAAAUGACAUAUAAUAUCCUUCACCAGAGCAACUUAAAAAUUAAUACAGGCCUCCGCGCGUCACCCCCGCCUUCAUCUAAGCAGCCUGCAUUCUACAUUUGAGAUUAAAACUCACAUUUCAUUUUUAUAUGCUGUGCUUAAUCCAAUAAUGAUUUCAUGUUACAAACAGCAAUAAUAUCUUUCAGCAUAGUUAAUCAGAAUAGACUUAAUGCUGUCACUAUUUAUUAACCUUUGUUGAAAAGCAAGAAGUUUCUCUCUAAUCUGUGAUUGUUGGUCUUGUCAGGCUCUAUCAAGUGAAAAAACAGUUUUGGCAUUCAUUAAAACGGUGUGAGCCCUGAAAUGACAAUUGCAGCCGGAUGGUAUUUGGUGCAUGAAAUCUUUGUUGCAUUCGUUGGGAUAACUGGUGAGGCCAGGGAGGCACACGGUGGGGACCCACACAGUCAAGAGACGAGGGGUUUCACCCUUGAGUUCCUCUUGGAUAAAGAAACUGUUCUCUCUUUUUUUUUUUUUUUUUUUGCCCCAUUAAGUUAUUGGUACAUUUUAGGUAUAAAACACAUAUUACAUUCAUCAUUGGGAUCUUGUACCUUUACAUGAGUCUCUUGGUUCUUAUUUUUUUUCCCCUUCCCCUGCCCUCCCUUCACCCCCUCCACCCUUCCCUAUUUGCAAAGAUUUUGUUUCCAUUUUUUUUCCUUUUCUCACAUUUUAAGAAACUGUUCUUAUACACUAGGAAAGGGGGCCAAAAUCAGGGUGCAGGACAAGGGUCGCAUUGGGUCUCUUGGUUCCCUUGCCAAAGAAACUCAUCAUUAAUUGAAGACAGUGGCUUUGCACUUGGAUUCUAGAUGCCUCACUCAUCUCUUCCCCAACCCUGCGCACAUUAAUGGCCCUUGGACAGUCAUUUGUCCCUUACAUUCUUUCCCCCACCAUCUUCUUUAUUUGGAAAACAAGUGUGGCUUUCCCCUACCUCCAGCACCUAUGUUGAGCUGGAGUCCAUUUGAAGGAGUCCAUGAAAACAAAGUGAUGGCCAUUAGAUGUCAGACUGUACUUCAGUGGGGGCCCCUGGGCAAGUGAUCUCAAUUGGUCGACUCGACACUUGGCUUGCAGGAGAAUGUGCCUGGCUGCUAGGAAUUCCAUAGGCCUGGACGCCUUGAGACUGCCUUUCUAGCAAACUCCCAAGUGAGCUAAUGCUGCGGGUGUGGGUAGCCCUGAGGGGGUUGUGGUUUGGAGUUUUCUGGACCAUGUCAGGAUGUCCUUCUGGGUCAAGAGGCCAUUGACCUUGCCUGGUGAGUGGAUGGAAAGUGCUUUGUCUCUGGUGGUUCUUGAUGCCAGCGCUGGGCAUUGUGGUUUGGGACAAGCAAACAGAAGCCAUGCUUCUUAUCCUCUCAAGGGAUGGUAGGGUGUCAAUGUUUGGAAGCAGCCCUUCUGCACCAGUGUGCAUGUGGACACCCAGGGAUCUCACUAAAAUGCAGAUUCCGAUUCACUAGGACAUGGGUGGGGCCUGAGAGUCUGCAUCCCUCAGACUCCCAGCUGAUAUGGGGAAAAACAGACCGCAUCUGGCGGGGGUGUGGGUAGCAAAGCUCUGCCACAUCGGUACUCUUGGCCAACUUCUGGUCCUUCCUGGAUUUAAAUUACAGAGUCUGAGCCUUGCUCACUGCACCAAAGGGAAAUUUGUCAUUAGAAAAAGGAAAGUUUCAUCUUGCAGAAGCCUCUUGACGGCUCCAAAGAGAAGGUGCUCUCCCAAAGGGCUUGUCCUUCCAUUUUUGUUUCCAGGACAUGCUUCUCAGAAAGUCCCUGUUGGGUCUUUAUCUUCCAAAGAUGAUUCAGAGAAAAAUCUAAUCUGGUGAAGAAGCGCCGAUGCCAGAGGCCUAGGAGGGACAUUCCACUAAGCAAAUAAAGUGCUUGUUUGGGACUGGAUGGUGUUGGCUGAGAUCAGUGAUUGAUGGACCCCUUCUCUCCCAGGAAGGGUUGAGCAGGGCAGGAAGUUUUGCCCAAGUAAAUGGGGAGGUGAGCAGGUGCUGUUAAUUAUUUAGGAAGAAUUAAGCUGUCUGGGUGGGUGGGUUUUAUGCUCUGUUUGGUAAUAAAGGUUGCUGCAGAAAGGCAUUUUAAAAUUCAGUAUUCUCAUUUGCCUCAUAUUGCAAAGAAGCCGAGCCUGGCUUUGACUGGUGGGAGCAUCUGGAAUUAAUGAACCAGCUUCUUACAGUGCAGAAAUCAAUGUUUGCUGCAUUAAUUGCACAACGCUGAAACCUCGCUUUUUAUUUCUGACUUGCAGAGCCCUGGCCUAAGAAAUCUCUCUUAAGCAGCGUUCUGGGGCUUUGCUGUUUCCUUAAUCCAUCUGGGCGUGGGGAAGGAAUUGCUUCUUCCCCAUGGAGGUGUGACCUAGGGGGCCGUGGGGGACACUCGGAACAGGUUGGGUGCUGUCGGGGCCCAGAGGGGCAGGUCCGGGGAACACCACAGCAAGACUUAGGGCUCAGGCCCUUCUGCAGUAGCCACACUCUGCUCUUCCAUCUCCUGAGAGUUUCAGCUUGUCAUUUCUUAUUUUAUUUUUUUAUUUUUUAUUUUUGGUACCGGGGAUCAAACUCGGGACCUUGCAGUUGCGAGGCAGGCAGGCAGCGGAACCACUGAGUUAACUCCCCAGCCCAGUUUGUCAUUUCUUUAGGUUAAAAUGCGCCACAUUGAGGAAUUGCAUAAGUUUCAGCUGGGUGUGUGUCUCUUGCCUUCUCCAUUUUUCCCCUGUGAAAACCCCUUUGGAGUGUGGAUCUCUGGAUCCGAGAUGUCACUUGACCACCAUGUCCUUAAGUAUGAGAGCAUUGCACAGCAUCAUCUGCUCCCCCUGGCUGAGCAGCAUCUGUGGACCCAGUGCUUGGUGCUUCAGACAAUGACUCAAGGAGACGACGUUUGAGCCACAUGUGGAGAAAUGGAUAGGAGCUCACUAAGGAGGGAGGGAAGUAAGGGCAUCCCAGGUAGAUGAACAGCGUGAACAAAGGCCCUGAGGCACAAAGGUGCUGGCUUCGAGGCCUGAAGCUCCUGCUGGCUGGAGUGGUGGUGGGGAGCCAGGAAUGUGGGUGGGCAGAGUUUUAGCAGAGGAGGAGCUGGGGAGGAACUUGCAGAUCUUCCAGUAGGUGGUGGGAAUGCCUAAGCAGGGGACAAGAUGACUGGUUGAGCUGUACUUCUUACUUACAUACUGACUCUGAGCUUUGACAUAAAUCAGAAUAUGGCACCAUUCCAUCAUUCCCCAAGCUCCUUUGUGCUGCUCCCUCAUAUUCAAACUCUUCUCCCCACUUCCCCCAUACCUGUCGCCACUGACCUGGUCCCUGACUCCAUAGCUUUGACUUUCCAGAUGCUCUAUAAAUGGAAUAGUGAGGCUUUUGUCUUUUGAAUCUCACUUCUUCCGCUAAGCACAGUGUUCUUGAGUUUCCUUCGUGUUGUUGCACGUAUUCACAGUUUGUUCCUUUUUAUUGCUGAAUAGUAUUCCAUUGAGUGGUUUAUUCAUUCACUUGUUAAGUGGUAUUUGAGUCGUUUACAGUUUCUGAUAGUUACAGUUAAGCAGCUGUGAACACUUGCAUUCAGGUUGUAUGUGGCCAUAGUUUUUAUCUCUCUAGGGUAAAUACCAAGGAGUGGGAUUUCUAGGUGAUUUGAUCAGUAAAUGUUUCACCUUUUAAGAAACAGCCCAGGCUGAGGAUUUAGCUCAGUGGUUCCACCACUUGCCUCGCAAGCACAGGGACCCGAGUUCGAUCUCCGGUACCAAAAAGAGAAGAAGAAACAGCCCGACUUUUUUUCUAAAGUAGCUAUACCAUCUUGCAUUUCUCCCAGUAACAUGAGAAUUCCAGUUGCUUCACAUGCUCACCAACACUUGCUAUUAUUAGGUGUGUUUUUUUCCUCAAUUGUAGCUAUCUUUUUUUUGGUACUGGGGAUCGCACUCGGGACCUUGCGCUUGCAAGGCAAGCGGUGGAACCACUGAGCUAAAUCCCCAGCCCAGUUGUAGCUGUCUUAACAGAUGUAUAGUAGUAUCUUAUUUAAUUUGCAUUUCCUUAAUGACUAAUGAUGUUGAGCAUUUUUUUAAGGUAUUUACUUGCUAUCCAUAUCCCCAUUUUUAAGUUGGGUUGUUUGGUUUCUUAUUGUUGAGUUGUGAGUAUAGAUAUAGAUAUAGAUAUAUGCUGGGGAUCAGUCCUCUGUCAGAUAAAUGAUUUGUAAAUAUUUUCUCCCAGCUGUUGGCUUGUCUUUUCAUUCUUUUAAAGUACAGAGUUUUUAUAAAGAUCAUUGCAGUUGAGCAUGUCUAACCUCUGACACCUCACUUGCCACAAUCAAGCCAUGCUUACCUUUUUUUAAUUCCUCGAAGAAAUCCGAGUCUUUCCUUCUCUAAGGCCUUUACCCAUGCUGUGGCUUCUGUGUGGAAUACUCUUCCACUUGGGAAGAAAUCUUGCCCUGCCUGCAUAUCACAGAGACAUUCUCCUGUGUGUUUUUUUUUAAAGCUUUGUUUUUUUAGCAUUUCAGUUUCAGUCCUUGAUCUGUCUUAGAUUAGUAUUUGUGAAUGUGAGAUAGGGUUUGAGGGUCAUUUUUAUUUUCUUUAAUAUGGCUAUCCAGUUGUUCCUACUUCAUUUUAAAGAUUUUUCUUUCCCUUACGAUUGCUUUGGUUUCUUUAUUCAAAACUCAAAUGAGCAUCUAUGUAUGAGUCUAUUUGUUCUUUUUCAGUGACCAGUAUGUCUGACCCUACAGCACUACCACAUUUUACUAAUUACUAUCAUCACAGUAGAUUUUGGAAUUAGGUAAAAUCGUCCAGUUUUCUUCUUCUGUUUCAAGUUUUGAUAGUCUAUGUCCUUUCAAUUUCCUUAUAAGUUUUAAAAUUGACUUUUUAAUUUCUACAACAAAUAAACCUAGAGUUUGAAUUGGAUUGCAUUGAAUCUAUAGAUCAUUCUGGAGAGAAUACGAUUUCUUAAUAGUAUUGAGUCUUCCAAUCCAUGAACAUGGUAUUUCUCCAGUUCCUUCCCUUUGAUCUUCUCUAUGCUUACUUUUGCUCCUCUUCAGUUCCCAGCCUAAGUGUCAUCUCCUCAAGGAGGUGUUUGUUGACCCCUGAUUAGAUGCUGUAGCUUCUGUCAUGCCCUCUAGUGCUACUUCCCUUCCUUCUUGGCACUAAUCAAAAUAGUAAUAAUGAUCUGUGUGAUUAUCUGUUUGACGUUUGUCUCCCUCACUGGACCAUAAAGCUCCAUAAGCUCAAGGACCAGGUCUGCCCUGUCCACAGACUAGCAUGCAGUAAGUUUUUAGUAAAGAUUUAUGAAUACAUGAAUGAAUGCCCUCUUUUUUUGUUUUUUGCUUUUUGGGUUUUUUUUUGGGGGGGGGACAGAAGGAUUUGUUUAGGUUUUAUGUGAAUGCCAACUGAACAGACUAUGUCCAAAGGAAGAGCCGAAUGCCCUCUGUAUUUUGGCACAUAUCUCCAGGUCACUGGCUGUUGCCAUUUAUAGUUCAGUGCACACUUUGGUCUCUGUUUUUAGAUGGAGAAACCAAGGCCUCAUCUUCCAACCCCUUUCUUAGCCUCUGCCUAAUGCUUAGUUCCUGCUGACACACAUUAUACAUUGAGUGCUCCUAUUCAUUUGACAGGUAGAUGUGUGUAAUUAUGAUUUUUAAAAACUCAUACAUCUACAGAGAGUUUUUAGGUAAUGAUUAUAAUACAGACAUUUAAUUUAUUUUGAGAGAAAAAAAAAAAGGUGUUGCUUUCACAGCACCAGUCAGGGCAUUAGAAAAACCAGUGGCAGAAUCUUGAUUGAAUUAGGCUGUGCUCAUAAUUAGGGAAUGCUGGGGCCCACAGAACAUCAACAAGCAGUAAGGACAAAGUGAUAGAAUUAACAGUCUCUCUCUCUCUCUCUCUCUCUCUCUCUCGCUCUCUCUGUCUCUCUCUCUCAUUUGAGAGUUGGCAUUUUAGGGACAUUGUGUUGUUAAUUAAUUGGUUUGUAGACACUAUUUGGAUGUAUAGAUUUUAUUCUACAGUUUGAUCCUAAAUCAAUAUAUAGGCACUGGAAUUAAUUAAAUCCCCAGGGUAAGCAUUUCUAAGGAAGAUUUUAGGAAGAACUCUCUGAGAAAGCCUGAGAUUGUUGGGAUGAGUUGUCAAGUUGUACUGUAGAAUGUUGGAAUUCAGAGCAAAAUAAAAGAGAGAAGCUCAAUAACACGAAGUCCUUUGCAGGAAUCCGGAAGGGAGAAUAUUUACUCCAAAUUGGAUCUCUAGACUAAUACAAACAAAACAAAAAUUCAACUGGAAGUCCUUUGGGGGCUUGCAUGAAGAGCAGUGGAAAAAUCUAACAUUAUUACAAGCUGAGAUUGUAAUUUCCUCCUACCAUAAUAGCUUAUGUUUUAUACAGUGCUUUCAUUUCAUUUGCAAAAUAGCUUGGUAAAGCAAAGGCAAAUAUGAUCAUUAUUAUUAUUGUUGUUAUUAUUCCCAUAUCACAGAUCAGCAAACUGAGGCCCAGAGACCUGGCAAGAUUGGCCUGCAGUUACAGAACUAGCAAGGGGAAGAUUUAUGUGUAGAUCUUUAGAACUUGAUACCACGUUCAGUUCUGUACACUUUGUCAAUGAAUUAGUAGUAGUUAAAGUUUUCCUCGAGCCAGGGAUUUAGCUCAGUGGUUCCACUUGCUGAUUCCACCGCCUGCCUCGACAGUGCAAGGUCUCAAGUUCGAUCCCAGGUACCAAAAAAAAAAAAAAAAAAAAAAGUUUUCCUCUUAGAGGUAUAGGAUCUGAGUUGGGGAAGGGGUUGAGUGGCAUUUGUGGUUUUGGGGAAUGUGAUGAUGUUGAUAAUAACUAUAGUAAUGAAUACCAUUCAUUUAGCAAUGUCUCAGUUACUGUACGUUAUGUUAUGCUACUGUAAUGAAAGACUCCAAAAAUUUCAAUCACUUAACACAACAAAGGCAUAUUUCUUGCUCACUUGACAUGUCCCCUGGCUAUGUGUCCAUAAUGCCUGGGCAGUGGACUCCACUCGUUGUAGUUAUUUGGGGACUCAGGCUAAUAGAACAGCCACCAGCUCUAAUAUGUGUGUCAUCCAGCAUGCUAGAAGUAUGGAGACCUCUAGAUGGUCUUGUACCAACAAUAAAAUGCUCCAUCCUGGAUGUGACACAUCACUUCUGCUUUCAACUCAUUGUCCAAAAUUAGUCACAUGGGCUCACUCAGCCUUGAGGAGCUAAGAAGUACAUGGAAAGAAGAGAGCCAGAAAUAUUUGGCAAAAGCAUUAAUGACUGCCAUAGACACCAAUAAAGAAGUAGUUCAUCUGAUUGUACAGCAAACCUGUAAGGUAUCAAAGAGAGCUAACAGUUAUUGAUUGUUUACCAUGUGCCUUGCGCCUAGAAGAGCACAUUUAACUGCAUGAUAACCCCAUCAAGUAGAUACUGUAAUUCUUUCAAUUACAUCUCAUUUUCAUCUAAUUACAGAUGAAAAACCAGAUUCACAGAGGUAAAGUUACCUGCCCAAGGUCACAAAGCUAGAAAAAUGGUAGAGCUAGUGUUUGAAUCUGUACCAUCUUGGCUGCAAAGCCCACAUUAUAAUAACCCCAUUAAUAGAUGAGAAAUCUGAGGUCCAGAGAAGCAAACCAACAUGCCCAAGGUCACACAGCCGAGAAGCAGAAAGCUCCGCCUUUUGCCUUACAUUCUCCCAUGUAAUGUUGGGAGACUUCCUUUUUUAGUUUCUAUGGGUGAUUGCCAGCUGUCCCUCCCCAACUCUUUCCUAGGCAGGCCAAUCCCAACCCUUGGCCUUCUGUGUCCCUGAAGUAAGCACUGGUUUAUUACACAAGUCAGCUUGCAUGGGAUCAAAAUGCUAAAUUCCCAGGACUUUUCAAACCACUGAUAAACACAGACAUUAUUAAAAAUUAAAUCACAAAAACUUACCAUGGUUACACACAGGAAUCCCCCCUUAUCCUCAGGGGAUACAUCUCAAACCCCCCAGUGGAUGCCUGAAACCUCAGUAUUAAACCCUGUGUACACUGUUUUUUCCCUGUGCAUACAUGUCUGUGAUCAAAUUUAAUUUAUAAAUUAGGCAAAGUAAGAGAUUAACAACAACAAUAAUAAAAUAGAACCAUUUUAUAAUUGUUCCAACAACAAUUGGUAUAAGUUAUGAGAAUGUUAUCUCUCUGUGUCUUGCAAUAUCUCACUGCCCCCCCCCCCCCGUGACAUGUGAGACCUUAUGGUGCCUGCUUAAUGUGAACGAUGGUGUGGACAUUGUAAUGUAUUGUUGGACGACUGCCUAUGGGUUACCUGAACAUAAGUACCGAGAUUCUGUGACAGUGGAUGGGAUAAUUGAGAUGGCUACUAAAUAACCAGCAGGUGAGUAACUGGACACUGAAAAACACAUGAUUCACUUUGUGGUUGGGACAGAGCAGGACUGGGAGAGAUUUCAUCUUGCUACUCAGAAUACGGCACAAUUUAAAACUUCUGAAUAAUUUAUUCUGGAAUUUCCAUUUAAUAUUUUUGGACUGUAGUUGAUUAUAGUUAACUCAAACCAUGGAAGGUUAAACCAUAGGUACGUGGAGGCUUGCUGUAGGUAUUUUUUACAUUAUGGCCUCUGUUGCCGCUACCCAUCCCUGCCAUGGCUGUACAAAAGCAGCCUUAGACGAUACCUAAAGACAUGAACAUGGCUGAGUUCCAGUAAAACUUUAUUUACAAAAUAGGAUGAACUAAAUUUGGCGCAUGGAUCAUAGUUUGCCAACCCCCAUCUAUGGUAUCUCUUUGAACAGUAGCCAUGACAGGUUGAGUGGGCCUGUUGAGUAUCCUUCCAACCCCUAAAAUUCUUUAACAAGUUUUAGCUAUUUUUAUGGAGCUGAUAGGCAAAAAUGAUGAUGUGAGCAUUGAUAGACUAGAAGUUCUUUGAAAGGGAGAAUCUUUUUGUCUUGUCCUCCUGGCAUAGUACCUGACCCUUGGGUAUUAUUUAACAGAUAUUUGUUGGGUGAAUAAAUUAAUAAAAUGAAUAACAGUUACUAUUUUUGAAAAAGUUGUAUUAUGGAGAAUCUCAAAGGUACACAGAAAGUGAAUAGAGCAGAGAGUCCAUCUCCAAGGCCCAGCUCCAACACUGCACUGACAUUGCUUAUUGGCCUGUGCUCAGUUCAUUCUGUUAGGACAGUGACUCUGGCAUCCAGUACAUGCCAGCGUGCCCUGGUGCUGUGCACAGGCGAGGGCUCAGUAGGUGCUCAGUACCUAUGCGGGGGAAAUGAAAGAAUGAGUGAAGGACAAGCUAGUGUGCUUGGAUCUGACCUAUAAGACUUCUAGAGGGUUUUAGGGUCUUAUUGCAUAGAUUUGGGAAAAAUGUGGGUAAAAUCAGUUCUUACUAUUUAAACCACAGCGUUGGACAUCAGAAUUCCUGAGAACCUUCGUAAUCGUGUUGGUUCCCAGCUCUGCUCUGAGGAGUGGGGCUGCUGAGAAAAUGGUGUUUGGCAAGCCCAGCAGGCUCCUGCAGGUAAAGGAAGAUCCAGUGCCUGGGGUUUUAAAGGAUGCCCUGGGUCCUGCACUCUUUGACACUUUCUCUCCAGAGUCCUGGUGAGUAAGGAAGAGAAUGACCACACACCCAAGAUCUGGUCUAAUUCGGGCUCUUUAAAGUAACCAGGAUAUUGGAAUGAGUUUAGAGAAAAUAUGUCAGGUCUGCUCUGAUUUGCAAUUUGAGAUAAAUGUAGGAAACGUGUGUUUGCUUCUCAUAAGAGGAUUAUGUUGCCUUGCAAGUUGGGUCAUUGUCACUUUUGAUUUUAGAACACUUACUUGUGCCUCCAGUAAUGAACAAAAACCAAACCACACUGAGACCAGCCCAGGAGGUCCUGCUGUUGCAGAGUCCAAAGUAUUCUUGUUUCCACUGAAUUCCUAUUUCUGAAUUCCAGCUUGUCACACACCAGACAUUUAAGGGCCCUGCACUGGGCUAUAUCAACACUGGUGGUUUAUUUCGGAUAUAAACUAAUCUUUUUAAAAUUAUUAUUUUUAAAAACUCCUAACUUGGUGUCUUGUACUUUGGAGUGAAUUGUUCUUUGCCAUAUUGAUUUGGUGUGUAAUAUUAGACCUUGCUCUCGUAAUCAUUAUCCAUCCCCCAUUCAUCCUCAACUGGGAUAGCAGUGAACUCAGUCAAAUUUUGGAUUCAUUAAAAAUGAUCAUGGAGCUUAAACUGGGAGCCAGGUGAUGAAAUAAACAUAUUUCCUAUGAAUAGCACCCUGUUUUACUUUAUCUACUAAUUAACCUGAUAAGAGAGGCCAGUUUUAAGGUAAUUUUUCCAAUUCAAAAAUGACUAUAUAUACAUUAUAAGCCACAGAUGUCCCUCUGGGUGUGAACUGGGCAGUGUUUGAGUGGAGUAACAUUUGGAGUGAGGUCUUCCCAAACCCUUAGGCUUCCCCAGGGUUUGACUAGCCAAGAACUCCUUCCACUGAUACCUAAAAUGCAGGCACUAUUCUAAGUGCUCUCUGUACCUUGGAAACAAAUCACUCCUAGCAGGAUAAGUCCCAAUUCUAUAGCUAAUAUCGAAACACCAUCCUGGGUCUCCCAUGCAUUCCCCCUGCUAGAGUUUCUGGUUGGACUGGCUGAGUGCUCUGUGGUCUAAAUAUAGCCAUUUAAAAAGAAGAUCACAGGCCCAUCCACUUGGGACUGCUAAAAAGCCUUUCACGAUAACUCUUGAAAGCCCGAUGCCUUUAAUCCUUAACUUUAAUUUAAAAUAGAGAAAUCUUCUCAACUCAUAUUCCAUCUCCACAUUCUCUCCCCUGGCCUUGGUCCACCACGACACAUCUUUUAAUUUGCCCCCACCCCACCUUUUCAUGAUGGAAGAAUAAGAGUCUUUAUAAGUAGCUGCUGGAACAAGGACGGACUAAGCUGUUUUAAUUUCUUGCAAGGAUGUUUUUAUAGAAGAAAAUCAAGUCAACACUCGAGAGUAUACACGGCCCUUUACAGAGAUGGGGAGAAUUAAUCAGGCCAGAAAGUUCGGAAUAUAAAAGGGGAGGGCUGGGUGGAAGGAUGUUUCAUCAAACCCACUGCUCUGGGAGCCGCAGAGAUGAAAGGAUUUCCCUCUCCCAGCGCCUUAAAUAUUGGCAGGCAGCGGGUCAAGAUGUUUUCUUUUGUUGUUAUGGAAAGCCAUACAGAUAAUUAAUGCUGUUGAAAGAAGAUUGUUCUGUUGGCGUCUGCAAGGCUGGCCCCCCAGUCUGGGAUCUUCUGGGAAGAAACUAGUCAGGGAAAAAAGUUAUGCACCCAGGGAAAUCCUGCCAAUUUACAGGAGCAAUAAAUAACGCCCGAGCAAAUAGCCUCAGGCCAGGGCCUUGUGGCUGCAGACAUUUGAUAUGUGGACACAAGUCUGUCCGUGCAGUGAACUUUAAAUGGAGCAGGGGACCCACCUCCCCACCCCGCCCUGCCCCACCCUGUCACAGGCAGCUGCUUUUGAACAAGAAUUACUAAGGGAAGUUGUAACAGAAGCCCAGGAAGGAUAUGCAUUGGCUUUGAUAUUUGCAGUUCUUAUUUCUUCCUAGAUAGACAGGCUCUUGCUCUCAUUUAAUGGCAGGAAAUGUUUGAUCCCAUCCUUAGAUAUCAGAUGUAGCCAUGGGGGAGGAGUCCUGGCCAGGCCUGCGGGGCCCUUGGGAGUCAUUUGUGCCUCCGGCCAGUCCCAUCCUGAAGGAACAGGAAUGCACUGAGGAGAUGCAGUAAACCCCAAGGCAUACGACAGAAGGCUUGCUUCCUGCGGGUCCGGUCCUUUGUACUUUGUGGACAUUAGUCACUUAGGCCUACAGUUGGUUGCACUGUACCAGUCAGGAAACACAGGUGUGAGCUAACACAGCUAGCAAAUGUUGGAACUGGGAUUCGAACCCAUGCAGUCUGGCUCCAGAAGUGACACUUUUCUAAAAAAGUUGAGGUGAAAUUCACAUAACAUAAAGUUUUCAUAACAUAACAUUUUAUAAGUGAAAAAUCUAGUGGCAUUUAGUGACGUUCAUGAUUUUGUGCACUCAUCACCUCCAGCUAGUUCCAAAAACAUUUUCAUUUCCUGCCCAUUAAAUUUCCCAAAAGGAAACCUAAUGCCCAUCAGCAGUUGUUCUCCAUAGGCCAUUUGCCUGUCCCUGGCAAGCACCAGUCUGUGAUCUGUCAUGGUGGCUUUACCUGUUCUAGACAUUUCCUAUAUACAGAAUUAUGCAGCAUUUGACCUUUUGUGCCUGGCAUCUUUCACCUAACAGUUUUCAAGGUCCAUGAAUGUUGUAGCAUAUGUCGGUACCUCAUUCCUUUUUAUGGCUAAUUAAUAUUCUGUCACAUAGAUGUAUCACAUUUUAUCCCUCCACCUGUUGCUGGUAUUUGGAUUGUUUCUUCCAUUUGGCCAUUGUGAAUAGUGCUGCUGUGGACAUGCAGGUACAAGUAUUUGUUUUCAAUUCCUUGAGGUAUAUACCUAAGUGUGGAAUUGGUGUGUUGUGUGAUAAUUCUGUACUUAACUUUUUGAGGAACCACAAGACUGUUGAGGGCUGACAAUCUUAACUACUAUACUGUACUGAAGCUAAAUCCUCCAGGACUGGGUUGUUUUAGAAGGAAGCUACUGUGGCUGCAUCUUACAGGCACUUCUGACUUUUUUCUUGAGUGCAUGGAAAAUUCAUUCAUUCAACAUAUUUUGAGCACUAGCUUUGCAGCAGAUGUUGUACCAGAUGCUGGGGGUACAUUGUUGAUCACAUUCAUUAUCCCUACAUUUAGGGCUCACUGUCUAGUGGGGGAAGGGACAUGUGAAACAGAAACUACAAACUAAAAUUCCUGCAGGUGCCCAGGGGUAGAAUUAGUGAGGGAGGCAGAGCAGAAGCAAGACUACAGGGUGUGGUAGAGUCUGUGGCUAAGAAGAGAAUGGAUGCUCAGGUUAAAGGCUCUGAUUGAUAAUUGCUGGGCAAGAAUCCAGCCAUGGUGUGGUCAGAUCUUCCUCUUUUUUCUCUCUCUCUUAAAGAAACUGGUAAUUUGGAUCUUUGUAUCAAAUCUCUGAUAUUUAAGAUCUCAAACUAAACAGAACAUGUCUAAGAGGCCAAAUGGGCUACCAGGUUAUAAACUAUAUUAAGGUUCUCCAGAGAAACAGAAUGAACAGGAUAUACUGCAGAUACACGUGUCAGUCAGCAGCAGACCAGAUUUGUAACAGUGGUCCCAUAAAAGAACUUAAGGUUUUCUAUUGCCUAGUAUUUUUGCUGUACCUUUUCUGUUUAAAUAUGUGUAGAUAUGCAAAUAUUUACUGUUGUAUUGUGAUUGCUUACAGUACUCAGAACAAUAACAUACUGUAAUGUUUGUAGCCUCGGAGCUGUAGGCUGUACCAUAUAGACUUUGUGUAGUAGGCAUCUAGAUUUGUGUAAGUACACUAUGGUGUUUGCGUGAAAUCACCUGUCUACACAUUUCUCCGAACAUAUCCUGGUUAUCAAGCAAUGCAUGAAUCUGUGAGAGAGAGAGAGAGAGAGAGAGAGAGAGAGAGAGAGAGAGAGAGAGAGAGAGAUCUUAAGGCACUGGCUCCUGCGAUGGGGAAGCUGAGGAAUCCCAAUAUCUGAGUGGGAGUGCUGCAGCCUUAGGAGACUUGAUCUGAAAGCCAGCAGCUUGAGACUUAGGAAGAGCUAGUGUUUCAAUUCAAGCCCAAAGGGAGAAAGAGACUGCUGUCCUAGCUCUUACUGGGGGAAAGAUCAUGCUUUUUGUUCUACGGAGGCCUUCCGCUGAGGGGAAGAGGCCCACCCGUGUUAGGAAGCCCCUCUGCCCUAUUCCGUCUGCCUGUUCAAAUGCUGCUGUCAUCUAGCGCCACUGUCACAGACGCUUCCAGGGUGUGUCACCAGACGCCCGGGCACCUCAGCCCAGUCAGACUGACACAUAAAGUUAACCGUCACAAGUCCAGCCUUUGUAAACUUAGCACCCAUAGGCCUCUCAUUAAUCAUACUUAAUAAUAUCCAGAUGAAGACACUCACAAAGUCUUAAUCCUGCCUGACAUGAUACAACUACCCUGUGUACAAUCAAACAUACACCAGUCCCUCCCCCAGACGAGGAAGAGUCACCUUGAGUGAUGGUGACUCUUCCUUAGCAUCCCAUAACUUAAAUAAUUCAGUGUAAGUCAGUAAUACUUAAAUAUCAUAAUAUAAAUCAGUACAUCUUAUGUUACUUAAUAAGAGAACAAGAUAAGGGAACUUAAUACAGGAACAAGAGGAAAGAAAAAGAUAUUUGCUUUAUAGUAUUGAGAUAUACACACACAAAUAUAUUUAUAACAAAAUAAAGAGAUACCCAUAAUGGUUGCGGUCCUUGGUUCUCUAACUGGCCGCAUGGUUAAAUUGUAGCUAGGCAUGAUGGCACAUGUUUGAAAUCUCAGUACUCAGGAGGCUUAGGCAGGAAGAUUGUGAAUUUGAGAACAGCCUGGGGUUCAUAGUGAGUUCAGGGAGAGCCUGGAUUACGUUGUGAGACCUUGUCCCCCCAAAAGAAAAAGAAAUCUAAAUUAUGACAUAACACUGGAGAGCUGAUAGACUUCUGAGGAAAGUCAGUGAAGAUAUAUUGCUGGCAUUGCCAGCUGAAAGCAGAUUGCCUCUGGUGGGCCUUGUGGACAAGGGUGGAGACAAAGGUAUCUGCCAGAUCAGUAGCUGUACACCAGGUACCAGGGAAUGUGUUAUUCUGCUCAAGCAGUGAAACCACAUCUGGUACAGUAGCUGCAGUUGAAGUCACCACGUGGUUAAACUUACAGUAAUCCAGUGUCAUUCCCUGAGAUCCAUAGAUCUCCUGUACUGGCCAUAUAAGUGAGUUGAGUGGGGGUGUGGAAUGAUCCCCACCCCUGUGUCUUUUCUGUCCUUGCUGAUAGCAGUGAGCUCAGCAGUCCAUCUAGGAAUACGACAUUGCUUCUGGCUUACAAUUUCCUAGGUAGAAGCAGAUCUAGUCACUUCUAGUGCCAUUUCCCACCAUUACAGCCCUUACUCCACAGGUCAGAGAACGCUGGGAUGCUGCCAUUUACUGUUCCAGUUAUGCAUUCUAGAACUGGGGAAAUCGCCACAGAUGAGUUUGGGAACCCACCAGCUCCGCUGUGAGAUGAACCUGAGCAAAAGCUCCAUUGAUCAUCUGAACUGCAUAAGCCCCUGUGCUGACCGGCGGCUCCCAGGGACAUUUGGGGUCUCCUGGGGCCAGAGUCAGUUUAGAACUAGUGUUCAGUAUUGCUCCCAAAUGCUGGUCAUUUCCUUUGUCCCAGUGCACAGUCAUCCUGGAAAAAGGCCUAAGUCCCUUUGGGAAAGUUUGGGGAAAGAUCAACAGUACAAACUUUUGGCAGUAUCCCGGAUCCUUUCUCUAGGGGACCCAGCCUCCUAGCUGGGUCAGGAGGUUCUAAGUCUAUAAACUGGCUAAAGUUUGUGAAUGGAUUGAAGGGGUGUGACUUUUUUUCAUGAUGCAGUUAGACUUCACUUGAUCUGGAACUUUCCCAUUUAGGCUUCUUCUGUGUUUCACUUCUGGGAACACCACGAUUAAUUAACUGAUACCAUGGGUCUGUGAGACCCUGACCAUCCCGACUGCUGCUUUGGCUCUGCAGUCCAUUCCGAUGCCCACACCCGUGAUGGAGGGCCAUCAGUUGGCCCUCCCACCCUGGUGUCCAGUUACUCCCUCUGUUUAGGUUUCCCAGGUUAGUGCCCUUGGAUCCUGCUCUAAGGACCAGCCUACAGAGAAGCGUGGUCCUGAGCACCUCAAGGCUGCCAAGGCUCCCCUCUCCAAUUCACUUCUCACCAUACAGAUGAAUAUUGUGUCUUCUGGACCCUCCCAGUGUAAGUGAGUAGGUCUUUAAAAAUGACAAAUCCGUGCUAAUGUUUCAUCUCCCAAAACCUUUGAAUCCCUUCCUCUAGAUUAAACUGUAAUAGGUCUGGCAUUUCAAUUCACUGACUGUGGAUCACUUUUGGUCCAUGCUUCAGCCAACCAAGCAAACCCUCGGAGACCUUUUAACUCCCAGCUGCAACAUCAAAUGCAGAAUCUCAGCUUAGGGAUCUCAAAAUCCUGCCUCUUCCAAUUUUAUAUUCCUUCCACUUUAUCCCAUGUCUUCAUAUCCAUUCCCAUGAAUAUUCCCUAGAUUUCUGUCUAUAAAUUAGAAAACUCAAGUAGUUCUUUCAAAGAAUAGCAUGCCUCUACUCCUCAUGGGUCACACUUUGUACCUCAUCAUUUGGGAUCUGCUGAGACUUGAGUCUAGGUACAGGUAUAGAAGCAAAGGGUGGGGUGGGUCCUGAAGAGACUGAGCAUUUUCUUGCUUGGCAGCUAGCUACCUCAGGGGAGACCAAAUGGUUUCUUCAAGAAACGUAAGUUGAUUCUCAUUGGAGGGUGGAGAGGCAGCUCCCACAGAGGAUAGGGGAACUCUUCCCCUGACAAAGAAGUCUUGUCAGAAUCUAGGGGCUCAGUGUGCCCAGCUUCAGUGUCUUCCCACAUGUCCCAACUUUCAGAUCCCUUUUCCUGGUCAGUGCCCUCACUGUUAACAGCAGAUACCCUACAAGGACAGGAGUUGAACUUGUGUUGUAAUUUAGCCAGUGGUGGGAUGAGAUUCUGGGUUUGAUUUGCAGCACUCUCAGCCCCUCAGCCACCGGAGAAAGGGGUCUCCUUCGGGUCACAUGUGGAAGCUUUCAGGUUGUUUAUGUGGCACUCGAGUGGGAGGUUCAUAUCACUGAACUUGUCCUUUCCGUAUUCUGUCCAGAAGAAGCAUUAGGAGCUGCCAGCCAAUCUCACUGUAUUCAUUAGUUUGCCCAAAGUGUUCCAAAGUACUGUAUCACCCAGAUCCUUGCUCCUUAUGAGUGAUUGACUAGGAGGAUGAGAGGAGAUGUUUUGUGUGUCUCUAUUGCCAGAUCAUACCACAGUGUUUGUAUUCCCUUCAUUACUUCGAAUAGAGUCAUGAGUGUCUUUAAAUCUAAUCAGAUUAAAAUUCCAACCCCAGAAACCUUCAAAGCAAUUCAAAAAAGUCCAUCUUCAGCUAGUCAUGGUAGUAUAGGCCUGUAAUCCCAGCACUUGGGAGGCUGAGGCAGAAGGAUUGCCCAGAGUUUGAGACUAGCCCUAAAAAAUGAGUUCAAGGCUAGCUUGGAAUACAUAGUGAGACCCUGUCUCAAGAAAAAAAUAAAAUCCAUCUUUAAUAUUACAUUCCUCUAGGACCACUCCUGCUGCAAAAAUCUGUAUUAGCCAGGGUUCUCCAGAGACAUAGAACCAAAGGGAUAUAUACAUGCAUAUAUAUCUUGUUUAGCUACUUUAUGUAUCUACAAGCUGAUACUAUAAUUAAAUGAAAUGUGAACCAGAGCAGUCUGAUAGAGGCAAGAAGGAGAUAUACAGGGCGACCAACUAAAUCCUGCCUGGGGAAGUCAGGGGAGGCUCUCAUCAGGGAGGCAGCACUUGAGGUGUGUUGUGAAGGAUAAAGAAGAAUGAGCCAGGAAAAGCAUGUAGGAAAGGAAGUCCAGGUAGACGGGUCCAUAUAUGCUUGGAUUCCCACACAUAGUCAGUGUGACCUAAGCUUGGGGUAUGUGAGGGACAUGACAAGGACAUAUGCCUGGGGAGUGGGGCAAGGCAUGCUUCCCUGAGGGCUAUAGCAGCUACCCAGGUCUUUGAGCAGGAGUGGCUGGCUUCCAUUGUAUACUAGACUGGCUGCUCUGGGGGCUCUGUUUAGCACCUACUGCAUACCAGGCCAGAUAAUAAGACCCUGAACAACGGAAAAGUGAAUGUGCAGUCUUUCCACAGUGAUAAGUGCUCAGAGGAAUAAGGAGCAGUCAGGGGAGUCAAGGGUGUACUGGGGAGUGUGAGUGUGCAGCGUAUGGAGUGAACAUAGUCUUGAGUACUAUACUUCCCCUCAGCAGGACUUGAAGGGGAAAGUGGGAGAAAGUCCAAGAUUUGGCCUGAGCUCUCAGAAGGAUAGAGCUGCCUUUUCGUGAGAUGGGGGUACCUAGGAGAGGAGUAGGGAUCUGGAGUGGGGCAGGGGCUCAGCCUUGGGCUGGGGAGUUUGGGGAGAGCUCUGACCUCACCAAACCUGAUGACAGCCGAGGUCUCCUGGUGGCCCAGCAGGCUCCAGGGAUCAGAGAGGGUUUCUCUCCAAUGAUAAAAUGACCAGAAUAUUUAUCAAGUCCUCCAUGCAUGCAGGGCACUGUGCUGAGCUUUGCCUGCAUCAUCUCAUUUAAUGCUUGCAGGUGAGUGUGGAAGGCUCAGAGAAUUUGUGAGACUUGCCCAAGAUUCCCCAGCAGGUAAGCUGGCAGCGGGGAUUUGAUCUCUUAGACCAGGCUUUAGGAUCUUCCUGCUUACUUGUCAGGAAUUCUUGUCUCCCAGUACUAGAAGGGCCAACACCUUUGAAGUUAGUGAGGGAGUGUAGUCCCAGAAAGGUCUCACUCUGAAAACUCUCAGGUGGACGAAGCAGGGCCAAGAUUUGGUCCAAGAGUCCUCAGAUUAAAGGGCAGCAGGGGCUGCUCGGGGCCAGGUGAGAGACAUGCUGGUAGUCUUGCUACCCUCCUCCGCUGACAUUACUGUUACUAGGAUCUCAUUGGGUUGAAGUCAGCUGUGGGGGUUGAGGAGCCGGAAGGGAAGAGGCCAGAACAUGACUAGCAGCUGUCACAGGUGAUAGGACUUUAAAAACCUUUAUUAUGGAAAAUCCUUGGCAUUUUAGAAAUACAAUAAAAUAAGUCCCUUUGUCCUAAUCACCCAGCACCAACUCUUGUCACCAUCCUGCAGUUGUUUAUCCAACUGCUCCUCCACUUUCUUUCCUUUCUUCCUAGAAUAUUUGGAAGAAAAUCUCAGAGAUGUUGUUUCAUCGUAGAUGCUGGUGGGAUUUUGAGUAAUCAUUAUUUUGAUUCAUCUGGGUGUGUAUAUCAAGAUUUGUAUUUCUAUUUUUGUUUGUUUGACUGUUAAAAUCACUGCACUUUUUAGGUUCCCAAGCUUUAGACACUUGCAUUUCUUCAUCUGUAAAAUGGGGUGCCUGCAGAACCCCUCUCUGAGCUCAUUUCUGCAAGUGCUGAUGACAGGGUCUGCCACCACAUAUUUUUAUUAUUUUGUUAUUGUGGUAUAAUUUUUGAAGUGGAGAUCCUGCCCCUCAAAUCCCUGGGAUCAGGCCUCACUAAGAGGGCAUUUGGGGUUCCUGGAUUCCAGACUGGAACUUUCCAGAGCUUGUGUGCCAGGCUCAGACUUACCAACCCCUGACUUCGCAGUGAGUGUGGCAGGAUCCACAGGACUUGGGUGAAGCUCAGCUGUGUGCUCCCAGGCCAGCAGACCCUGGGCAGAAACCCAACCUCUCCAAGCCUCAGUUUCCACCUCUGUAAGUCAGAGUUGUCAUGGCACCUACUGGUGCAAUGAGCUAAUGCAAAUAAAGGUGCAGUACAGUGCUUGGCAUACAGUGAGUGCCCAGUAAUUGUUCUCUGGCAACUUUCCUCCAGAAUUUGCUUAGAAAUGAGCACAGGGAAGGAGGUAUUGAGCCAUUACCCCCAUGCCCCUAACUGUGGCCACAGGACAGUAGAACCAGCUCUGGCAAUGACAGUCCAGGUCACUUGGGUCCAGCCCUGCUACGAGGCCUUAGCUGAAUGUGUCAACCUCCCUGGGCACGUGGAAAGGGACUGUGUGGGCCAGCUGUGCCAGAGGCUGCAGCCUGGAAUGGUGCAGAGGUGGGGGCUGCAGCUGCCAGGACCCCUGCAGCCCUCCCAUGGACCCCUCCCUCAGAGCAGUGGCCUCUGCCAGGCCGGCCGCCAGGGGGGCUUGGCAUGAGGACCAGCAGAUGCCAGUCUCGCUCCACGCACAGAUGUAUCUGCCAGUUUCUGAUGGGGAGAAGCGAUCUGGGAGUCGCUCACUUCAUUGAUAAUUAAAUUCAAAUUAAGAGAGAUUUGCAUUUAUCAAAUGCCUGUUUGACAAGGUGUCACUGUUCCCAUCCAGUACCCAGGCGCUGGGGAGCCAGCAAGGGGAGGUGCAGCUAUGUGGGGGUAGGGGUAGGGGGUGGAGAUGGAGAAGGGAGAGCUUCAGAGACACUGCUGUCAGCCCUUCAUUACUGCAGGGCCAUUAUGCGGUGGUAAAUUGAAUGAAAUGCUGUGUGACCUCCAUCAGGCUGCUGAACCUGUCUGAGCCUCAGUUUCCUCACAGCAGCCCCCAGGCUCUCCCUUGGAGAAAACAGAUGGCUACCAUUGGCCACAGGUAAGGUGAGGCAUUCGCAUAUCUAUCACCCCUCUGGGCUGUAUGCUGGGGAGUCUCUGUGGACAUUGUGGUGACCCACAAGAUCCCUGCACAUGCAGCACUCCUGCCCCCCAGCUGCUGUGAGGUGACUGUCUCCUUCUGCAGGGACUCUCAAGGUGUUUUGUCCCACUCAACGCUGGGGCAGCCUAUCUGGCUGGUUCAGUACAGGAGUGGAAGCCGCAUCUCCUUCCCCAAAGGCAGGACACCUGGUGGAUGGCCCCUGAGGAGCUGGUCUGUGGGAGCUCAUCCCUGCCUCACCUGCUGCCGCUCCCUCAUGCUGUCCCCUGAGGCACAUCUCCCCCGCCCCAGCCCCUGUGCCAGAGUCCCCACCUCAGGUUCCACCUGACCCAAGACGGGAUCCCACCUGGUCCCAGGGCUGUCCCUGAUCGCUGCUGGAGCUCCAGCUGUUUUUAGCCUCCCAGCCUCAGUGUCCUCACGGGGAGCACAGGCACAAGAUAGCUUCACCCUCCUAGGCGGUUUAGAAGUAUCAAGGGAGGUUGUGGGUGUGGCAUUCCUUCUUCCAGGCUUCGAAGUCUGGUGUAGCUGAGGGCCAUCUCCGGAGACAAGAGGGAUCCUGCCUGCCCCCCUGGUCCUGUGUGCUUGGAGGGAGGAGAAUGGAGGGGGCUUGAGGGAAGAAAGGAGAGGGAGUGUGAAGGGUACUUAUUCUCACUCGAAGGGCAGGUUGGGCAGAGCAAAUGGCAUUUGUGGGCAGUGGUCCAAGAAAGGGGCUUAAGUUCGGAAAUGAUGGUGGCCGAGCUGGUAGCUCCUGAAAUUGUGAACUACAGAGCCUUCAGCCUCACAGGAGCUUGGCCAAGGCAGUGCAGUUUCUAGCUCUUUCCGAUCCAGCCUCCUUUCAGACCCAGCUCAGUGUGUCCUCCCUUUGGAAGGCUUUUGUAUCACAGCAGGCAAGACCCAGCAGGAGAAGGUCUACUAUACACAGUGGACACACAAAGGGAUGUUGUGUGCACUUCACAAGGCCCCUUCAUUCCUCCCACAGGGCUGAGCUUCCCAAGGUCAUUUCAAAUAGGGUAAGAUUUGAGAAGAACAAUUUUGCUGCCAAGAAUCUACCCAUUUUGUGAAAGGUGGUAGAACCUGCCUUCACUCUGCUGAAGGGUCAUUCAUAAUUAUAGAUCCAGAUGUGAAAAUGAGAUCUAGGUUUAGAUCCCAGCUCUACCUUGAACUAGAUGUAUGGUCUUGGGUAAACCACUGAACCUCUUAGAGCUCUACUUUCUUGUCUGUAAAAUGGGGAUUAUAAAUGGGGUUGGUUGGGAGGAGCAGUGAGGGGAACACAGAGCCUGACCCACAGUGUAAAUGUCAGUGUUUGCACUUUCAGUUACUCCUCCCUUAUGUUUUCUGCCUGUUCUGGUUCCGCUUGAUCCCUCACUCUGUUCCUUAAAGGCAUCUUUUCCAGUGCUGAGGCGUUCAGUGUCAGCUGUGCUGGAAAAGUAGAGGCAGACGGGGCUGAGCUGGAACCUCAUGCAGCAACUUUCCAGGGAAAGGUUGUAGAGGGGCCCCAGGCCUGGGCAGGGGAUCAGAGGCACCAGGCCGGGCGUUGCAUGGGGGACAGUUGACAAGUCUCACCUUUUCAUUGAUGCCACACAUGGCAGUGGCAGCAAAGUAGAUUUUGGAAUUUCACCAAGGAUUUCUCUUUAUGAGUUACAGCUCUGCCUGUCAAACCAAGAACUACUCCUUUUUUGUAGUGCUAAAGAUCGAACCCAGGGCCUUGCACACAGAGAACCCUCAUUGGAUACCGAAAUAUCCAUAUGGAAGGUAAUUUUAUUUUCCCAGCCCCAGCAAAGGCAGGACUUCAGAAGCAGUCAGCUUCCAGCUUCCUGACCAGAUGUAUCCUCCUCUUUUAUAUUAGUAAGUUUCUUCCAGUAGAUGUUCUGCAUUUAUACACAAGGCAGGGAAAAAACAGCAGCUAAAUAUAGCCUGCACCAGUGAGCUGUGGUGGUCUGAAGAUAGGGAGUGAGGAGGGUGGGUUUGGGCUUUUGUGCAGGCUCAGAAUAGGGAGAAUCUGUGGGCCCCUAUCAGACCCUGGUUGAGGCACAAAAGCAGCAGAGGGUCCUAAUGUGACCUCAAAAGCUCUGUGACCUUUGGCAGUUUAUACCACCUCUCGGAGCCUCACUUUUCCCCUCUGUAAAGCAGCAUUGUCACUUUAUGAAGUUUCCAGUUUGACUUAUCCGCACUUCUGCUUUCUAUCAGGGGACAAUGCCUGAGAAUGAGCAAGGAGCCUCUGGUGACAUCUAACAGACUUGUUUCGCUGGUCUCAUUUUUUAGUAUCCUCCCAAAAGUUGACAGGAGACAGUACAUGAAGGGAAAUGUUUUUGGUUGUUGUUUUUUUUUUGGUACUGGGGAUUGAACUCAGGACCUUGCACUUGCAAGGCAGGCAGCGAAACCACUGAGCUAAAUCCCCGGGCCAGAAAUGUUCUUUAUUGACCACUAAACCUUGAUUCUUGAGCUCUUAGAAUUAAGAUUAUAAUUUAGUUCUACAUACAAAACAGACACACACUUCUUGGAGAAGUGUUUUGCCUUCUCUUCUUAAAAAGAGACAUUAUUUUGUGGUUGACAAAUCAGGUGCUCUGGGUACAGAUACCUGGGCCUGCCACGUGCUUGCUCAGUAUCUUGAAUAAACCCUUUUCCAAGUCUCAGUUUUCCCAUCUAUAAAAUGAGCAGGAUACUUUCUCCUUGGGCUAAAUGAGGUGACAAUAAGUUGAGUAUUCCCAUUCCACACAGUCCCAUGCUCAGCACCUAAAUAUUGGCUGCAGUGACCAUGAUGACUGCAGUGCCGCUUGGAAAGCCAUCCCUUGGGAGCAGGGUGGGGGUGGGAAGACAGAAUGUAGGCUGCGUGUCCUAGCGAGUCCUGCCGUGGAUUCACAAAUUUCCAUCAGAUUUCCAAAUGAGAAGGAUGCAGCUGAGAUAAGCCACAUGCAAAGUGCAGUCCCACAAUCCAAAAUAAAAGGGAUGUAUUUAUAUACAUGUGAGAGCACAUCUUGGUAUCUCAGAAACCAGGCAGAAUAUUGUAAAGCAAUGUACAAUGGCGUAAAAUAUCAUCCCAAUUUAAUCCAUCUAUCUAGGGUUCCAUCUAAUUACUAUACUAGAAAAGUCUUCAGACCAUGUAUUGAACAUUAUAAAUGGGAAUAAAAUGAUUCUGGUAAUGGCUUAAUAAAGCAGGUGAGGUAGCUCCGUCUGUCUGCCUGUAUCCUUGGACCAUGGCCAGAUUGAUUUGUCAGGGAAGGAAAAAAAAGAAGAAAUGGGUUUGUGUUGUUGCACUUUGGAGAUUGUCUCCAUUAGGGGCCUUUGAUUUUAUUCUUGUUUUUCCUUAUGAGAAGUGGUUAUCGGUUCCUUUUGUUAACAGCAAAAUAUGUAGAACUGAUGGAAAAACUGACAGCAGCCGUUUCAUAUUUUAUAAAGCCGCUCCCGGCUUGUAAUUUGCUGGUUGGGAUGAAUCGAGGAACCCUGAAACUCCUGGCAAAUUUGCAGCUGAUGACUGCAGUCUUGUCCGAGGGUGUGUAUAACUGCUGAAAUUUCGCUGCUCUGAGGAGCUGCAGCUCAGGGAGGUAAAAAUGAGCCCCAGGGUAAGAAAUUAUACAUCAGUCAUUUGAAGCCGGAGUUGUCCAAUCAGAAGAGAUCUGAGAUCUUUGUGCACGAAAUCACCUUUUCUCCUUGUGCCUAGAAAGCUGCUUGCUUUUGGGGGGAUCUCAGGCUUUCUGUACAGAUCAAACAAUGGCUUUCCCUUCUCGCCUCUCUUCAAAUGCUCAGUGUCUUUGUCUUCUGCCCUGAGCCUUCUGUCCCCAUUCCUUAAAAGCUGCCAUUGUCACUGAGACUUGACACAUCCCCAGCCUGAAUUUGCUCCUGGUUUGGGGACUGGCAUCCAGUGACCAGUGACAGGAAACCACACAACCCGUUGGUAUAUACCCUUCCCCGCUUCCAAGUGGCCACACCCUGAUGGAGGAGGGAAGAUCCCCCUUUUCCCCCCAAGUGCUUUGCAUGUUUCCAGCCCCAAACUCUAAUUUCUUCCUCAGACUAGACUAAUGUGGGUGUUGGAGGUUAAAUUCCAGCACAUUAAGGAGGUACCCACCUCUCCCAGAGCCCUGGUAUUCGCACCAGGCGUCAUCCAUGUUGUCAUGGCUACGAGGGCCCGGGACCCCAGAGACUGAAGCACAGAAUUAAUGGCAGUCCCGAGUAAAGGAUUCCUGUCUUGGCGAGGUUGAUGGAUUACAUUGAUGUACCAUUUGUCAUACUGUAAUUGUUCUGGCAAAUGUAAUACCCACUAGUAUAAACAUUGUACUGCUUUGCUAAUAAAACCCAAAAUAGGAAGAGAAAGGAUGAUACAGUGUUAUACUCACUUAAAGAGACAAUGCCUCCUUUCCAAGUUGGAGCUCACUUCUUUUUCUGGAGGCCUCACAUGCCCGAUUCCUUCUCCAUCGAUGUGCAUGCGUGUGCUAAACAGUUGUCUGCCACCUGCCCUCCCAGCACGCUUGGCGUGGGCCACCUGGGCUGAGCAUGCGGGUAUUUGAAGGAGGGGGGCCAGCAUUCGAGGUACUCAGUUUCCCGCUCCAUCAGCACUUCUGGUGAUUCCUCUUCUUGGGUGUAGUUGUUGCCCAAAACCUCUUUGCCUUUCUUGGUGUCUGCAAGGUUUUCCUUUGGAAUCUGUUUAUUUAAGUUGACUUCGAGUCUAAGUCUCUCCGCUGGUGGGCUGCUACCCCUCAAGAACACUUUUCUGACCCUGCAGACCCUCCUCUGAGCCCUCACCUCACUCAAGCCCAUAUGUGUACUGUGCUCGGCUCCCUCCUGUUAGAUCAUGAGGUCCUGAAAGGCCAAGACCAACCACUAAAUGUCGCUAUCUCGUCCCUUCCCCACCCCAACCAGUGGUGCUGAGAACACUGUGUGGAACACAGGUGGUACUUAAUGAAUGCUCAGGGACUGACUGACUCAGUGGCUCCCCACUGACCACAAGAGGCUUAACCUGAAGCCUCGCUGGCCCAUGUCAGGAUUUCAGGACCCCAGAUGCCCACUUGCCUCCUCCACAGCCGAUGGUAAUACCUGCUUCUCCCUGGUGGUUCUGAGCUUCUCCAUUUUGUCUCUGCCCUGCCUUCAUCAAUGGUCUUCCCACUCAGGAGACUGCCCUUGCCCCAUGCCUUAACUGGUUAACUCCCAACACAAAUGUUACCUCUCCCAGAAACGCUCCCCAGCGCCCACACUGGGGGAGGGUGCCCCUUGGGCCCUCAGCAGCUCAGGCUUCCCUGUGGCAAGGAGCCCACGCACAGUGGGAGCACAGCAUCCUCCCCUGACUUUUGCCAAGAUACCUUUGGCCAUGUGUUCACCUGGAGCCCCACCCAGCUUGAAUUUCCUGUGUGCAUAGGAGAUCAGUGAGUGACCGAAUGCUUUUCACUGCCUCCACCCUCCUUGAGUUGGGCUCACCCAGCCAGGCAGCAGUGGGGUAGAACUGGGGCCCUGUCCACAGACCUUUAUCCAGACGGCCUGGGUGUGGGGAAAGUGGGCCAUCAGGAAGCUCGUGAUCUUGUCACUAGAUUGGGCUGCGAAGGAAUUGAGCUGGGCCCUCACCCUCUCCCCAGGGAGGCCUCUUUACCCAUCCCACUUUCCUGCCCCUGGGAUAAACAGGGCAGAGUCUUAUCUGGGAAGUUGGGGAAGGAUGAUAUGGUGGAGGCUCUGGAGGCAGCUUUGGCCUCCUUAAUCUCAUCAGCGUGAGCCUUUUGAGCCUGACUCUCCCAGGAAGUCUUUGAGCCAUCAGCAUGUAUCUGUUUGACCCCUGCCCUGACCACCUCCCCUCAGGCUAUGGGCAUGAUUGUGGAAGGGCCCACACAGGGUCCCUGAUCCUGUAUAAUGUUGUCCGGGAUCACUGGUGCCCACAUCUUAACAUGCUGGUCCCUUUUACUCUGUGCAAAACCCUCUACUCCAAGGGCCCAGCCAGCGGCCCUGGUGCCCUCUGAAGUUCUGCUCCUGUAGGGAAUGAAUUGGGCUACAAGCAACUGCAAGCCUGGUGAACUGCACCUUAAACUCAUAUGGGUGCAUUUAUUAUUUUGUUUAAUAUCUGUCUACUUAGAGCACUUUUAGGUUGACAGAAAAAUUGAGAGGAAACCAGAGUUCCCGUGAAUACUGGUUCAGGGUAUACGAAGUCUCCCCACCAUCUUCAGUCCGUACCAGAGGGCGACUGACCUUUGGUAUAGCUGAUGAACCUACAGUGACAGGUCAUUAUCACCAAGUCCACAGUUUGCACUAGGGUUCACUCUUGGGGUUGCAUAAUCUUUGGAUUUGGACAGAUGUUAAGUAAUGACGUGUCCACUGUGUAGUGUCAUACAGAGUGGUCUUGCCGCCCUAAAAACCCCGUGUUCUGCCUAUUCAUCUCUCUCUGACUCUCUCCUCCCAGACCCUUGUAAUAACCGAAUGCUUCACCAUAGCUUUUCCAUUUUCAGAACGUCUUACCAUUGGUGUCUUAGUCUGUUUUUUGUUGCUGUAACAAAAUAUCUGAGACCAGGAAAUGUAUAAGGAACUGGAGGCAAGGAAGUCCAAGAGCAUGGUAUUGGCACCUGGUGACGGCCUUAUUGCUUCAUUGAAGCAUAGCAGAGAGCAUGAGCAAGCAAGACAGAGCGGGUGUUCAAGGUUGGGUCUCUCUUCUUAUGAAGCCACUAAUGCUAUCAUGGGGGCCCCACUCUCCAGACCUCAUCUAAUCCUAAUUACUUCCAAAGGCCCCAUCUCCAAAUACUGUUACCAUAUGAAUCCAGGGUGGAGUUUCCAACACCUGAACUUCAGAGUGAUGCAUUCAAACCAUGCAGUUUAAAUCAUAGUGUGUAGCCUUCUCACCCUGCCUUUUUUUAUGUAGCAGUGGGCAGAGGUUCCUCAGCGACUAUUCAUGGCAUGUUAACUCAUUUCUUCCUUGUGUGGAAUAAUAUUCCGUUGCCCAGAUAUAUCCCCAUGCAUUUAUCCUCUGAGCUCCUGAAGAACAUUGUGGAUGUUUGUUUUUCUGACAUAGCAGAGUCAGAGGGAGGCCACCUUUGUCUUUUCAUUUCCCCUCUUGGCUUUUUCAACUUUGUAGCUCACUAUGUCUGUUCCUCCUCCAGGGCUCAUGUCUGCAAGCCAGGAAGGAAUGAGAUGGGAGAGCCAAAGGGGCAGAGAGGGAAGGUUUUCUCCUGGUAAGGAUUUUACCUCUCAGUUCAGGAAGGGAAGCCUCAUAGGGGACAUCACCUCAUUGUCCAGGACUGGCCACUCGUAGCUGCUGGGAUGGAGCUGUUAGAAGAUGGAGCUAUGGGCUAAGUCGUGUCCCUCCCGACAUCACAUGUGACAAUCUCGAGAUGUAUUCAAGUCUUUGGCAUCUCAGAGUGGGCCUGUAUUUGGAGUAGGGUCUUUAAAGGAGUAAUGAAGUUAAAAUGAGGUCAGUAGGGUAGGCCCUCAUCCAGUAUGACUGGUGUCCUAGUAAUCUGAGGAGAUCAGGACACAGACAUGCACUGAAGGAGGGCCAUGUGAGGACACAGCAGAUGUAAAUGUUCUGGAGGCAGAUGGUGGUGAUGGCUUAAUGACUGAACAUCACAGUUCUUGACACUUAAAAAUGGUUAAAAUCACAAGUUUUAUGUUGUGUGCAUUUUACCCCAAUAAAAGAAUUCUACCUUUAUUACUAUUGCUGCUGUACUUCUAGUAACAAUAUUAUUCUGCUAUUAAGUAAAGCAGCACUGUAUUCUUGACAUAAAUUAUCUCACCUAAUCCUCCUGCUGAUCCUAAGAAAAAGAUCCUGUGAAUAACUAGGGAAGGGCACAUACCUACAGUACUGAGCACUACUGAGGCUCAGAAAGGUUAAAUCAUUUGUCCAAAGUCACACAGCUUGCAAGCAGCUCAACUGGGCCUUAAACACAGGGUGUCUGGGUCCCAGACCUGUUCUCUCACCCACACUAUUCUAGGCUGCCCCAGGCUUUAGUUAAAGCAAAGUUUUCAACCUUGACACUAGUGACAUUUGGUAAUCCUUGGUUGUUGGGGGCUGUCUCCCUUUUAGGGUGUUUAGCGACAUCCCUGGCCUCUCCCCACCUGAUGUCAGUAUCAUGACCCCCGACCUCGAAAUGAAAUGAUCCAAAAUGUCCCCAGACCUUGCCAGGUGUUCACUGAGGGGAAAAGUCAGCCUGGUUAAGAACCAGCGGUUUAACGGGGGCCUCCUGGCAAUGUGGAGGAUAUUGGAUAGUUGCUCACUUUUAAAGUCCAUCAGUCCAUGGAGAUCUGCUGUGUAUGAGAGAGAAUUUGAAGCGGGGAGGGCACAGAUCCUUUCUUUUGUCUGUUGGAAGGGUGUUUUCUGCAGGAGCAUUCCAACUCCCCACACCCUCUUACCCUUAAAAUGUUAGGACAUGUGGAACAUCCAUUUUUGGUGUAAGACUGGGCACACCACCCUCAGAGCUUACACAGUGCUCAUUUGCAAGAUGGUUUAUAUUAGCAAGAAACAGCGCCAUCCAGGGCUGGGGAAGUGCACGGCCUGUACGAAGUGGAAUUGUAGCCUUUCAGGUAAAGAAGUCUAGGACACUUUGUUUAAUGAAUAAAGCAAGUAGUAGAAUGUGACCUCGUUUUUAUGAGAAAUUCUUCCUGUGUGUGUACAUGGUGGCUGACACAAAGAGAAAAGCCCGGAAGGGUUUCCCAGGGGGUCAUGAUGGUUUUGUUCACUGCUGCACCCCCCACCCCGGGCCCUGGCACGUAGUAGGUGCUUAAUUAUUAUUUCUUCAUAGCCAAAUGUGAAGUGGCAAGGCAAGGCUGUCAGCUUUUUUCUUUGCGUUUUCCAUCAUUUGAAUUUUUUAUAACGAGCAUAUAUUAACUUUGUGGCUUUAAAAAACCUUCCUCCAAAAAAAGGAAAUUAAAAAAAAAAAAGAAUCACGGCUUGAACUUGCCUGGCUCUUCCUUCUGCAGCGCUCGACAGGCACGUGCCUGUCUUGCCAAAGCCACGCAGAGAAACGAGGCUGGUGUUUUAUGGUCCUUGUUCAGUCAUGCAUUGAUAACAUUGGGCUUCUGAAGAAAGCUGCUGCUUUGUUCGUUUCUCUCACUUUGGUUUUUCCCUUGGGCUUUUGCAAGAGAGCAGAAACCAACAGACAGGAGGAAUGGACAGGAAGGCAGAAGGGGAAGAGAGCAGGGGCCUGGAAACCUCUGUCUUCUGCUCCAGGCGGAAGGCAGCUGGGUGGACCAAAUGACCUCUUGGUGGGGACUGAGCAUCCAUUUCCGUGGCUUCCUCCUUCGUCCUUGAGAUCUUCCCAAGUGCUGAAGGAAGCUUGGGGAUGAGUGGAGGAGAGGGAAGAAAAAAAGGAAUUAGCAUCUUUUGGGAAGCAAGUUUCUGGAUCACAAGGAUGAGGGUUUGGGGGAUCUUGUGGGGGGGUUGUUUCUUGGUUUUGAGAUGUUUUGGGUAGCAAUGUGAGGAAGAAGAGUCCCCUUCCCAGUCUUACGAUUUCUAAAUAUUCCAAAGGUCUUUGAGUUUGUACAACUGCAUCUCAAAUGUUUUUCAAAGUUUACAACUGACCUGAUUCAUAGAAAAAGAUAAACACCCUUCCCAUGUUUGGAGUCAUAUGUAAUUUUUAUCUCUUGACCUUUAAAUGUAAGCAGCAGUAAAAUGAAGAACUAUUGCCGUCAUUUAACACUCCGGCUGUACUAACUGGUUCCUGCCUGAGAACCGUGGCUUUAAAUUGGCUAAUGCAGAAUACUUGCAGAGCUAAUAAUAAUUCAGAUUAUUCCUGUCAGCUAUUCCGGUUUCAUGGGUAAUUUAGUAGUUGAAUAAAUUUUUAAAAAAAUUCAUUCGUUACCAUGCGCUGUUAUGAAUCAGUAGAUGGUUUACCAUUGGCAGCAGUAACUGUAAGAAGAUUUAAAUUGCUACUGAAAAGGAUUUGAGUGAAGGUAAUGUUUUAUAAUGUUCUAAGCCAUAUGCACUACUUUCAGGCCUCAUCAGUUUUACAUUGAUUCCUAGUGAAGUGUUUAAUUGCAUCAUGAAUGCAAUAUAAUUCAGUUCUUUCUGCUAAUAUGGUAUAUAUCUCAAAGUGAUAUACAGCACUGACAGGGAGAAUUCGCAGUUCCGUCUGGAUUUGGGAGGGCAGCGAGAAAUGGGGGCCUACUGGAUGCGUGGAGGGCAGACGCCCCGGAGGAGGGCUGCAGCCAGGCUCCAUCUUACUGACACUAGGGGAGUGUCACUGCACGUGUGGAGAGGCGGGCUGUGUCUGUCACUGGCUCCUGCUGCUACUGGCCAGCGAGAGGGGGGUCUGGUGUGUUGGCCUCCCCUAGGAGGCAGGGAGAUCCCUCAGCUGGCGAAAAGCUGCAGUGGGCUGGCCAGGCCCAUCGUGUGCUGAUGAAUUGGCUCCGGGGAUCUCACUGGCUGUUUCUAAGUGGGGACUGAGGACUGGGCUUCUGCUGCCAUUUGUUUAAUCAUUCAGUGAAUAUUCAUUUAGCACCUACUGUGUUCCAUAGCAUUUGGUGGCCAGGAAUGCCUUUUUGGGAGCUGGGCUUGACUCAUGUCUGUGCUCGGUUUUGAUAUAGGUCUCAAGGGCCCCGAAGCAAAGGCCUAAAAGGGGCUCAAACCUCUCACCCCUGCAGGUGCCACAGGCAGUGGCCAGACACUGAGACCUCAGCUCCUGGGGCAGACUGCAGGGUGUGUCCCCAGGAGGGCACAGCUGCUCCACAGCUCCAUCUGUGUCUCCAUAGGUCUGGUGUUAUUGGCGUCUUUGGUUUCUCAUGAGACGCUAGGCAUCCGGAUUUGUAAGCAAAAUCACCCUUUUAAAAAAAAAAUUUAUAUAUUAAUUGGUACAUUUUAGGUAUACAAUGCGUUUCCAUUUAUCAUUAGGUGCUUGUACCUGAACAUGAUGAAUCUUGGUUCUUAUUUUUUUCCCCAUUACCUGUGCACCCUUCACCCUCACCACCCUUCCCUAUUUACAUAGAUUUUGUUUCCAUUUUUUUUUCUUUCUCAUAAUUUUUCCUUUCCUUUCUUCCCUUUCCCCUUCCCCUCCCACCACCCCAAAUCACCCAUUUUUAAAGAAAAAUUAAAACGUAUACACCAUACAGGCCAAACUAAAUGCAGUAUGUCUGUGGGCACAGCCUGCCUGAGGGCCACCUGUUUACAGUGUCUGUUCAUGGGCAUGACUCUGCUGUUCAAGUGAAAAACAUUUGCUCUCGGCCGACAAAAUGUAUGCAGUUCGAGGCAGUGGGACUCUUGACAGGCUGGGACGUCGUUCUGUGGAGCAUCGGACUCUGAGAGUGGGGAUUGGGGGGGCCGAUGAAGGAGGCGGCUGCUUCCCAUCUGGCGGUCAUGGAUUUGGGGACAAGCUGCCCGGGAUGGGACAGGCAAGCCUACUUGCUGCUUCCCUAGAAAUGUAAAGGAGGCAUCUUCGCAACAGAACUAACAACAAGAGGGACAUUGUAGCCUGCGGCUUAUAACAUGGCAUCCGCGGCAGAGUGGAGUAGUGUGGAACCUGAAGAUGGUAGGGAGGGGCAGGAUGGAUAGAGCUGGAGCAGACGUUCCCCUUAUGCUUUUUCUUCUCUGAAUCUCAGCAGGCAGCCCAAGGCUCGGGGCAGUCCUGUAGGGAAAGCCCCUGGCUUCCAUUUCUAGAAGCUUCACUGGCUACCCUCCUUUCAGGUGGAAGGAUCCAGCCUUCUGAAAUGCGGUGUGUGAAAGCGAGACUCAGGCUAGCUGGCUUUCUCUGUUCAUUCAGAAAUAUUUCGGAACUGGGCAUGUUCUGGGGAGAUUGUGGUGACCAGGACUGAGGGGCCUGCCCCGCUGAGCAUCUCUACCAAAGUACGAUGAGAGCAAAUGAACGAUGAGAACACAGAUUAGCUCAGAUACUGCUGACCUCAGCCCAGCAGCAUCCACUUGACCAUACCUUGGUUCCAGCCUUUUAAAAAGUGUGUCUCAGUGUAUUUGUCAAGGCUGCAAUGACAAAGCGCCACCAUCAGGCUGGCUUACCACAGAAAUUUGUCUUCUCAAGGUUCUGGAGACUAGAAGUUCAUACUCAAGGUGGUUCCUUCUGACGCCUCUCUCCUUGGCUUGUGGCCAGUCCUCUUCAUGAUCUGAAGCCGUCCACCCUCUGUGCUUCUGUGUCCCAAAUGUCCCCCAUUUCAUAAAGACAACAGCCAUAUUGGAUUAGGCCCACCCCGAUGACCUCAUGUGAACUUGAUUUCCUCUGUAAAGAGCCUGUCUCCAAAUCAGGCCACAUUUUGAGGUACUAGGGCAUAUGGAUUUGGUGGAGGGGGUCAAAAUUCACCCCCUGAAACUCCACAUAUACGUAGUAUGGGUGUGAUUGCAGCAAGGUAGGAGGACUUUCAGCAAAGGGAACCGGAAAACAGUGCCCGUGUAUUCUCUUCAGAGAGCUGUCUCUGCCAGCCCCCAUGAGUGAUGCUGGUCACGUCCAUCCCUCUGGAGCAGGACCUUCAAAGCAGAGUUCAUGCAUUUUCAGCCAUCUGAUCCUGUGUAGCCACAAAGCAGCAGCCCGGGCCCUGGGGCUCCACCCUCAGCCUGGCGCCGAGAUGUAAUCAGAGCCUUCUUUCUACCCCCACUCUUGAGAAAGGCCAGCCGGGCCACCUUUUUGAUCAUCGUAACCUUGACACAGAAGAAUAAUUUAUCCAUGCCCCCAGAUGAGGAAAUUGCAAAAUAUUAUUUAUGAAGGCGAGCCACUACGUCGUAAUUCUGGCCCUGUGUUGCUGGAUACAGCUGGCCGUGAGUGAAGACAUGGGCAAUGUUUGAUACUAAAAUGGGACGUCUUACCCAUGAGAUGCAGGUGUGGGGGAAACAGGAGUGAGUUCCACUGGAGAGACCGUGGGGAACAUAUCAUUCUGGAAGUUGAUACAAACUAUCCUUCCAGGUACUCCCAAGUCCGAAGUAGGAGGACAAAAGUCUCCAUGAAAAUUAGCUCAGUGGCACUGCACCUGCCUUGCAAGUGCAAGGUCCUGAGUUCAAUCCCCGGUACCAAAAAAAAAAAAAAAAAAUCAAGGGCAUGAAGGGGAUGCUGAACACGAAAUAAGGGUGGGAAAAUGUGUGUAGACCAUUGUUUGGGGACAUGGCCUUGGUUCCGGGGACUUAGGAGAUUAUGUAGCACAGUAGUGAUGAGCUCUGGCUUUGUAGUCAGCCAGGCUUGGGUUUGACCCCCCAGCUCUGUCACUUGCUAUGUGCCAUUUAGCAGGUCAGAUCUGUAAACCUUAGCUUGUUCAUCUGUCCAAUAGGAAUAAGAACAAAUUUAACCCAGGGAUUAUCUUGAGGUUAAUGGGAGAUCGUGCAGAUAUAAUGAAAUUGUCAGAUCAGUGGACCCCACUUCUUACUUGGUAGCAAUUAAAGUGAAUGGUGAAGGCAGCUCUGAGCCACCCAGCCUGGCUUUGCAUCCCUGUUCCUUACUGGCUGUGUGAACUGGGGUGAGUCAUAUCACCUCUCUGAACCUCCAUUUUCUGUAUCUGUCAAAUGGGUAUAGAAAUGGUUCCCGUUUCCUAGAGUGGGCUUGCAGGUGGAAUGAAUGAAUGACAGGAAAGGGCUUAGAAAAGUGACUGUCACAGAGUAAAUGCUCAGUAAAUGUUGUCUGCUCAUGUUACUUCCUAGGCCACAAUCUGCAGUAGUCUUCCUUCAGAGAAGCUGUUCCCAACUUUGACUCAGAUUUAGAAGCAGCCUGUCCCCCAUCUGCUGACAAUGUUAACGACAUGCUUAGUUUAAAAAUCUGAACAGAUUUGCAUUCCUUGUGAUUUGAAACAUUCUCCUGAGCAUUGGUAAGUUUCUCCUGAGGUGACAAGGGCGUGUGUCCCCAGGGGAACUGCCCCUGCGUCUGUCUGCUGCAGACAGGAUGGUGGACUCUGACAGCUCUGAACACCCAUGUACAGAACCAGAAACACCACCAGCCGUUCUCAGGCACCAGCCAGAAAGUUCAGCCCAGCAAACGUUUUGCAGCCUCUCAGCACUUUGCGGUUCUACCAAAUUAGUGUUUGGUAUUGAAUUAGUAUUCAUUUUCUCUAAUAUGAUAUAAAAGUAUAAUCACAUUAGUGACUUUUAUAGCACAUUAGAUUAUACAUUUGGAACAUGUCCCCACUUGAAACAGCUUACAAAAAAAAAAAAGAAAGCAGCCAACAACAAUAACAACAAGCGAACCACUCUCCGUCCUAGCUCACAAGUCCUAGCUUUUCAACUGGGCUGCAGCAACCUGGAUAGAAAAUGCUUUCCCUGCCUCUUGGUCCCCACAGAGAAAGAAUUUUCAUUCCCCUGCCCUGAUUUGUGAAGCAGUGCUUUAAGACCUGAAUAGUCGUUCCAAAUGAAUGUUUCUUUAAUCCCGGGGCAGAAACGUAGGCUGUGCUGGAGAUGUAAUUAAUAGCACUAAUUACUCUUCUCUUGUUCCCUUUCCUUCUCCUGCCCUCGCCCCCACCCCCAAGACACCUGGCGAGAUCCCCCGGAAUGUUCACCUUUGGUUCCCAAAUGCUCCUGGCCAAGGAAACCAGCAAGCUCAGAGCCCACCCUACCCUAGAGUCCCUGUUCCAAAACAUGUUCCUCUACUUCCCAGUGGUUCCUCCAGUUCUGGGAUUUCUGGGCUUUCCAGAAGGUUAGAUUUUCUGUUCCCAGCUGUUGUAGUGACUCUGCCAGUUGUGAAGGGGAUAUUUCAGAGCAGUACCAGCAGCUUAGAACCUGACUUUCCCAAGCAUCCUUCCCUGCCAGGACAACUUCACUGAGGCACUGGUACAAACACAGGAAUUGUUUCUCAGAAAGAAUCCCCAAGGCCCUCCCACAGACACUCAAAACCUGAGGGAUCCAUCUGUAGCCUUGUUAAGGCCAAAGUUCAACCCCCACAAACUGUUUCCCAUUACAAAGAGUACAGGAUUCCAAAGCUUUCCACGUACAAUAAAAACUGGGAAAACUGGGGAAAGGACUAAGAUGAUGUAUUGGUACCUUUCCUCAUUCCUGAACCACAGAGAUGAGCAGAACCUCCUGAGAUUAGGGCAGGCUUUGGCAGCAGGCUGCAUUUUAUGUGCUGACUCCAAAUUCAGCAGUAGCUUUCUGCUUGGAAAAGGAUUUCUAGACCAGCUUCUGGAUCAACAAAAGAGGCCCAUGCAAUCUUUAAAUAUGCUAGAGCACCUACUGUAUGCCAAGUUCUACUGUCAGCACCAGGGACACAGCUUUUAACCAGGAUCCAGAAUCCUCCUGUAUAGAAAUUCAAACUCCAGUGGGUCAGCUUUUGUGAGGCUCAAGCACAAGAUAGAGCUUGCGUCUCUAAAUGUGCUAAAUGCAAUGGGAAGCCACUAGAGGAUCUGGCUUAUGUUUAAAGGAUUUCUCAAACAAGCAAACAAACACCCUGGGUUGUAUAUGGAAAGUUGAUAGGAAAGAGGACCAAGUUAGAAGGCCAGGUUCAAGGUGAUUACAGGUAUCUGUGCAAGGAAUUAGGGAUGGAUAUAAAUUGACUCAUUGACAGGUUUGAAUGGUAUUGGCAAUCCAUUAGUAAUGUCUGCCACAGAGGCAGUGGCCAACCGCAUACUCUGUAUUUUCUAUCUCUCCCUUGAAAGUCAUUGGGAAUUGGGGAAGAUGAAGGGUCAUCCAUCCAUGGAUAGUAAUUUGUGGCUUUAGCAACAGUGACAGACAUUCUGAGAGGUGUAUUUGAAGGCGGCGGGCGGGGGGGAUUUGCCAGAUUUUGAGGGAGGCGUUAAGCAGAGAGGCAGGCCAGUACGUGGGGGUGAGAUGGUACACUGUCUCAACCUGAGAUUGAUGGGGAUCAGACAGGCAAGUGGGACCCUUAGAAGAUGGAGAAAGUAGACCAAAUACCUAGAGAGUUGUGCAGGAACCCAACAUGCUUCCAUAGAGACACAAUCAGGAAGGCUCAAGAAAAAUAGGCAAGGAGGGCCGGGGAUUUAGCUCAGUGGUUUCGCUCCCUGCUGCACAUGUGCAAGGACCCGAGUUUGAUCCCCGGUACCAAAAAGAAAAAGAGGCAAGGCAGGCAGCUAUCAGUGCAAUUAAAAAAAGGUUUUCAAUUAUAUCAGGUGGAAACAGGGUCAGAGACAAUAUCAUCCCCUUUUCCCCACCCCACAAACCAAAGGACCGAGCCAGUGGUAAAUGAUCAGUUGGAAGUGAGUUUGGUUUGUGUUGCUGUUGUUUCCUGUGAACUCUGUUUUCUCUACGAAGAUCAGCCAUGGUCAGACACUUAGAGACAGGGAGGGCAGUGAAAGCCAGCCUGGGGCUGGAAGGGAAGCCUGGCUUUGAAGGGGGAAGAGCUGCUUUGAAAGCUGGGGUGACCCACAUGAGGAUGUGAAAACAGCAGGUGUCGAAGGGACCAGGAAUCUUAGCACACUAUUUUGUUUUGUUUUGUUUUAAGAAAUACUUUAGGAUAAGAGAAAUUUCAUAAGAUUAUGAUAUUGAGUAAGGCCAUACAUAAUCUUUUUCUAUUAAAAUAGUCUGAGGGCAGCCUUUAUGAGUUUGGCCCAGUUAGCUCAGCUUCCAGGCCUGGGGGGAGGAGGGCAUCCAGAAAAACCGUCAAACUGUGAUCCAGUCUCUACCCUUGUACCCUCGGCCAUCACAGCCAGCAUCCUGCCUUCGGGCAUGAUGUUUAGCCCUGGACAACAGAAUUCCUUCAUUAGCAGACAGGCUGGCCACAGAGACAGAGGAGCACAGGGCCCUGGGAAGGGCCUCAAGCCUGGCCAGCAAUGGGUCCCCUUACCAUGCCCAGGAAGGUGUUGACAGACCCUACCAGGAACCCAAGCCAACAGCUCCUGCCAGAAUUUUAGAAACACUUCCCAAGGGUUCUGAUGCUAGGCCAGAUUGGAGAACAUCUGGGGUAGACCAUUUUAAAGUGUGCAUUUUUCAAAGAUAUAUUCUUCUAUAAGCACCAUACAUGUGAUUUUACAAAUUGUGAUUAAAGCUGAAUUUGAAUGAACAUCCAGCCACCUCCUGGAUGUGAGCAUGUAGAGGUCCUUGACUUCCCAUGGUUCAACUUGCAGAUCUUUAACUUUAUGCUAGCACAGUGGUGUGAAAAUGAUACGCAUUCAGUACUUCGGAGCUUGAAUUUAAACCUUUUCCCAGGCAAACUAGAUACAAGGUCCAGUCCUCUCUCACAACUCUGGGCAGUGGCAGAGAACACAGCUCCCUGUCAGCUCCACAACCCUGAGGGGAGCAGCCAUCAUUUACAGUGUGCUAGAUUGUAAGCUCGGAUGUUCAGAAGGUAGGGUGUACUGAAUGCAUUUUCCUUGUCUGAUAUUUUCAACUUACAGUGGGCUUGUCAGGACACGUCCCCAUUGUAAGGCAGGGAGCAGCCAUAUUUCUUAACCUGUUUUUGCAGAGUAUUUUGACCCGUAGAUAGGCGUGAAUGUGCAGAUCCGCCACCCCACCCCCGUCACAGUAUUGGGCAUUUGCACUGAGCUGCAAGGCGUGACUAAAAGAUAUAAGAAUGCUUACAUUUUAAAAAAAAACUUAUGUAAAAACACAUUGCCAAGAACAAUGGAAUAAGUACGUUCAAAUUGAGGGGAAAUAUUUUGGAGGGGAUUCUUGGCGAUGUGUCUUUUAGUGUAAUAUAUUUUAAAUGUAAACAAUCACCGCAUUUUUAUCACACCUCAUUAAUCUAAUAUUUAUGUCAAUUUCUGUUCAAUAAAAAUGUGAUGGUGUAUCCUUAUCCACCUUAUUCACUGGAUCUGGCACCGUGUGACUUUUGCCUCUACCCCAAAGUUAAGAUGACAAUGAGCAAUAAACAUUUUGAGUUGAUUGAAGACAUUGAAGCAGCCAGGACAGCACAACUAAAGACACUCAAAAGAGAGGACUUCCAGAACUGCUUCAGAAUCUGGCAAGAACAAUGGGAUAAGUGUAUUUGAAGUGAGAGGGUGCAGUGUGUCUUUUACUGUAAUCAUUUUUUUAACUGAAAUAUUCAUCACAUUUUUUUUGAUAACCAUUCAUUUCCAGCUCUUUUUAUUUUUUACUUCAAGAUAGGGUCUCACUAGGUUGUCUAGUUGUCCAGGCUGAGCUCAAACCUGGGACCCUCCUGCAUCAGCCUCCCAGAGUGCUAGGAUCACGGGUGUGCACCACCAUACCCAGCUGUAGCUCCUUUUUAAACAGAGAAAGGGCUAAGGAUGAUUCCUCCUUUCCUUCAGGACUAAUUGAGAAUAGCCUGGGCUCUCAGCAUGGACAGUCUCAGUGGAGGCAGGACAGAUGCCAAGAGUGUAAGCAAAGUAGGAUAGAAGAAAGUGAGUCUGCAGCAGAAAUAAGCAGUGUGCUGGGGUCCAGCAGUGGGAAGGGGGUACUGAAUGGCCCCUGAAGGGGAGUAGUUGGGACAGAGGAGGGCGUGUCUGGGAUAUGUGUGUAAGUAUGUGCCAAUGUCUGCUUAUGUAGGUGUUGGUAGGUGGGUGUGUUGAGUAGUAUAGGGUGUGUGCGUGCACAUGUGUGUGUCAGAGAAGUUGCCUCUGGGUCUCAGCCAGUGUCACUGGAGCUCAGAGGGGUCGGGAAAUGUGGGCAAAGGCAGGAUGGCACACAGCUCUGGGGCUCUCUUAGCCACACGGAGGGGCCUGAGCUGUUGUUCCAGUGCCCAGGCAGCAGAUGGAGAUAUACACGGAGGAGUGACAAGAUGCAGCGACCUCUGCAGAGAUCUCCCUGGAAUAGCAUCAUGGUGGGCACGCCAGUGGCCCAAGGAGGCUGGAUGGUGGCCAAGUGGGGCUUGGCUUGGCCUUGGAAGUGGAGCUGAUGGGCUUACUGGGGCAUGAGGUAAUGCGGUGGGACAGAAUGAAUGAAAAUGCCUCCCAGGCCCCAGGACUGAGCAGCUGGCAGAUGCAGUUUGGCCUCCUGAGAUGGGAGAAAUGGUGGGAGCAGGAGGGAGGUGGAAGUUCACAAUUGCCUCUUGGCCCUGGGAAAUCCGACAUGCCUGUGGCCUGCCCAAGGGGAUAUCAGGUCCACAGUGGACAAACGAGUGGAGCUGAGUCCUGUGGACUGGAGGUGAAACCCAGGCUCUGCCGCAGGUGGAACAGGCAGGUUUCCCUGGCUCAGAAGCCCCAGGAUAGAGCACUGAGUCACUGGGAGGGCAUUUAAGCUUGGCCACUUGAUCUCUGUCCCCCCAUCCGUGAUCUUACCACAACCUCACGGGCAUAGACACCCACUAAAAGAAUGUCCUCUCUGGGGACCCGGCCAAGAAUGAUCCCAUGCCACAGCAGCCGAGCCACAUGGUGCUGGGGCAUUUGUGAGGUUUCUCCCCUGGUGGUGGAAGGUAGGACUGGCUUCCCAGGCUGGUUCCUGUCACCCUUAUCCCAGAAAAUAAGGAUACAUUUUGUCACUGAAUUAAUGUCCCACACACCUAAAAGGAUGCUGGCCCUAAAAUCCCACACUGAGCAUUUUCCUGUGAGUCAGCUCAGUUCAUUUUUACAACAAACCCUGGAAAGGAGGCCUAUACUUAUUUUCAUUGUAUAGAUGAGGAAACUGAGGCUUGGCAAAGGAGUCAUUGUACAGCAGUGUGGUAUAGACAGGGUUUGAAACCAAGCCAGUUCAACUGCAUACUGUAUGCCAAGCAGAGACUAAAUGUCCUUUUUUAAAGUCAAAACAACCCCUCAAUGGGGAUUGUUACCGUGACACCCAUUAUACAGAAAGGGAAACUGAAGGAAGCCCAGAGACAAAAUGUUUUGCUUUGAGUCCCUCGAAGCUGCUAAGUGCCAUCACCAGGACUCAAACUGAGGCCUGUGGGAAAAUCUAAAUUCUCUCCCAGACAUGUGACCAGCACCUGCCUCCCUUCCUGACAGUACAAGUCCCUGUCUCUUCUAGCCCAGCCCCAAGCAUCCCAGUGACUAUAAAGGGAGGAGGUGGGCUUGAUCUUUAGGGCUGCACCAACAACUCCCAGACAAAGCUUCCCAAAGGGACAGGAAUGCAGAGGCUGGGGGCCCUUUGGAGCUGUGGCCAGGCCAGCUAAGACCCUGCGUCGCUAGGCGUGGUCAUCCCUAGAGCCUGCGUGUGCAGCUACAAGCGUGCAAGGGACGGUGCUCGUGCUUAUGGCCCAGCCCCACCACAGAUGCACAGCUUCAGCCCACUGUUUCCCGCUGCUCACUGAGACAGCUCUGUCCAUCAGAGCCUCAGCGGGACAGCAGUGAACAGCUCGCUGCCAGAGGGAGUCUGUGGGAUUUACUGCUUGCUUCAGCAAAAUUGUGUGUGUGUGUGUGUGUGUGUGUGUGUGUGUCUGUGUGUGUCUGUGUUUCUUGAACCAUUAUUGGAAAAUCAUACCUUGAUUUAGACACCUACUACUGAAGCUUCCACAAGACCUGUGUUUGGUUAGCAGAGCUACUAAGAGCAUAGGAUUUGAGGUCACGCUACUGAAUCUGAAUCCCAGCUCCACUGCUUACUGGCUGCAUGACCUUGAGCUUGCCUGCUCUUAAUUUCUUCAUGCCUCAGUUUCCCCAUCUUGUUGAGUUGCUAUAAGAAGUACAAUAAACUGUACUGUAUCUGGCAUACAGAACAUGCUCACUGUACGCUAGUUAAGUAUUGUUUUUGUUGCUGUCUUAAAACAGGUGCUUCUGGAAAUGGCCAGGUAGCAAAUAUUUUCUGCUUCACAAGCCCUGUGGUCUCUGUCGCCUCUAUUCUCUUCCAUUGUGACAAGAAGCAAACCAUGAACAGCAUGUCAAUGAUUGCACAUGGUUUUGUUCCAGUCAAACUUCCCUCUUAGUUAUAUCUGAACACAAGGGAGAGAAAUCCUUUUUUCUCUGUGAGCAUGUGACCCUAGGGCUGCCGGAGGCCAUUUUUUCCUAGAUUAUGGGGAGAAGUCAGCCGUGGUGGGAUAGGACAGCUCAGGUGGAAGCAGCCACUUGCCCACUUACAUCUGACUCACUCCUCUCUACCAGCCAGGGAUCAAGGUCACACACUCCACCCAGGAGCAUCUCUCAGUUCCAACAGAACCACCUGCCACCCAUAGUUUUCCUAUGGGCAUUUCUCUUUCCCUUUCCUGGUUGUAUAUCCUUGAGCCAGGUAUUUCCCAGCUUAUUUACAUGAACUUUAUCCACUUUAACUGUAAAUUAGGGUUAAUCAUUAGAUCUACUGCAUGGAGUCAGUUAAAAGGACUAAGUGGGUUAAUAUUUAUAAAGGGCUUAGAGCAGUCCCUGCUGUGUGGCCAGUACUAUAGGUAUAUGCUAUUAUUGUUGCUACCUGGAGACUGAGCACAUAGACCCUCUCGAGUUUUCCUGCUAAAUGAGGGAACCAACAGUUCCCUGUGGCAGGGACUGGAACCCUCAGCAUCCCCAGUAUCAGCCCAGGACUGGUAUUGGGUGGGCACUUAGUGAUUUGCUUAGCAAAAAGCAGUAACAGAAAGUGAACACAAGGAAGCUAUGUGGAUUGGAGCAACCUCCAAGGUAUCGUGGUUCUGAGUCAUGCUGUAAUUAUUCUGGGGAUUUAUAAAACCUUUAAACACUGAGCAGUGUUAGGGAUCUUAUGAGCAGUUUGGGAAUUUAGACUCUCGCUACUUAGUUUGGCCCACAGUAGACCCGUAGCAAGGGCACCUGAAUGCUCAUGAGCCAUGCAGGUCUCCCCUGGCCUCCUAGAACAGAAUCUAUACUUCAACAAGAUCCACAGGUAAUUGACAUUAGAGUCUGAGCCAUCUGUGCCAAGAGAGGAGGACGACUGAGAGAAGUAGCACCAAGAGGGAGAGUCAUGCCUUGCUAAUAUUUUUUGCAGUGCUGGGUCAUCUAUGCCUGAAGCUACUCCUGCACUGUUCACUUACAUAAGCAACAAUGCCCUUGUUCUGAUUAAGCCACUUUGUAGAUGCUGCCAAUAGGACCUCUGUAGGGGCUGUUCGUGGGGGUGAUGUGGGACCAUCAGUUGUUUUAUUAGGAACAUAUGAUGGCUGGAUGGGUGGACAGGAGGAGAUUCCUCCUUCUGCCACCUGGGAAAGGAGAAGUGGGAGGUCAUGGCGACCACAAUGGGCUGGGCAUCAGGAAGGUCUUCAGAGCCAGAGCAGUGAUCUUGGUGGGACAGUGGCCUCAAACAGUAGUAAAGAGGGGUGAGCAUGGGAGAUGCAAGUUUUGGGCAGAAGUGGACACACACUGCUAUCAAGAAGGUCAGUGUUUUGUGCUAAUGGGGGUGUGGAGGUCCAGUGCAGAGAGCGUGAACAUUGAAGUCAACACAGCUCUCUCGAUCCUGAUGCUGCUGCCACUUGCUUGCUGUAUGACCCUGGGCAAGGAAACAUGUCUCUGAGCCUCAUUGUUCUUGUCUAUAAAAUGGGGGUUAAAGUGACACUGGCUCCAUAGGGACAAGGGCAGAGGGGAUGUAUCAGUGACCAGGGCUGGUGGCAUUGCUCCCUGGCUCCAUGUGUGGUGACAUCAUAGUGGGGCCUUGAAAUCCACCGAGGCUGGAGAAUUUGCACCAUGGAAGUGGUGCGCAGCAGAACUUUCCUGCCCGACCCCCCCAAAGCUGGUUGUUAAACAUUUACCAGCAUGUUGCUGGUUACAUGACAAGGUGUGUUUAAAUUGCCAUGCCCAGGGCUGGGGUCCAGGCUGGUUCCUAAUUACUGUUAUAUUAAGUACAUUGUUAUAGCAUCAUAGAAAAUGUUUUUCAUGGUCAGGCUUUUCAUGUGCCCACUUUGUGACAGCUGUUUUAGCUGCUCGGAGGCCCUAUUCUGGUGUCCCUCUGGUUCCCAGCCCUUUCCUGGAAAGCUGAGAUGAUUGGUUACCUGAGUUCUGCACAGAGAAAGUAUUAUAGUUGGUAAUACCUGAAAUUAACAUUUAUUGAACAUGAACUAAAUGCCAGGCACUGGAAAAGCACUUUUUGUGCAUGUUCUUAUUAGAUUUCCCCAAUACUCUGUGAGCUAGAAGUGGUUCAGUGAACCUCAUAAUGUGGAGACGACUAGAGCCCAGAGAAGUUAAUGAGUUAGCCUGGGUUACACAGCUGCUUGACGGAGGGGCCAGGCUUUGACCGCUUGCACUUUGACCCUAGACCCUGAGCCCUCAUCAGGUGGAUCUACAGAAGUUAAAGGUGGAGGGAGCAGGUGUUUUGUCCUUGGGGUAUGGAUCCCCUCCUUGCUUGAAGGCCUGGUGGACACCGGGCAGGGCUGAGAAGUCCUGGCAGCAUCAUCUGCUUGGUGGACGGCGUUGGCCCAGGUUUCUGGCACGUGUGCAGCGGCGUUCUGAUCGGCGAGGGGAUGUCUCUGUUAGAAGGGAAUCUUGGCCUCGUGCCUCUUGGCAGCGGCCUCUUGGCUGCCACGUGGAGUGGCGUUUGGAGGCGGUGGGAAUUACCAGGCAACUUUGCCGGGAGAGCUUGGAGUGGAGUGUGGUCCAGCUGAGCGGGGGUGGGGGGUGCUCUGCCUGUGCCCCAGGCAGGCUGGCAGAGCACAAGAGAUCAAGCACUGUCAACGAAAAGCCACAGAGCUCAUUCUCUCUCCUCCCUGCCUCUGUCUGUCUCUGCCCCUUACCAUCCCUCAGCCUCUCUGCCAGGACUUCACAGAGCCAGUCAGAUGACAGGUGGUUUGGCAGUGAGGGCCACCAUGUCUUUUCCUUCCACUGUUCCCCAUAUCUCUCCAGAUGAAGUUCAGACCCCUUGGGGUGGUUUGAGAACCCUUGUGAUAUGACUUCUGCCUCCUGCUUCUGGCUUUUGUCUCCUUGGUAGGCAGUGAACUUGAGUGGAAACUCAGCUCUCCUUUUUGUGCAGUGCCUAACCCGGCGCUUACCGGAACACACUGAUGACCUGGAAAGGCCGGGAGGGAUGCCUGUCCCUUUGGUGUGGAGAGGGCUGAUGCCCUUCAUGACCUGCAGUCACUGCCAUCGCUGCAUCUUAAGGCUGACUUAGCACAUGCAAGGUGCUGUGCAAGGGUCUGAGUCAGUGGUGGCGAACAUAUGGCAUGUGUGCCACAGUGGGCACCCUGAGCCCUCUCUGCAAUGCUGUCACAGGUUGUAUGAGUUGUUUUUUCUUAACCAAAACCUCAGUAUUCAGGUGUAAUUGCAGUUUUGGCACUUUUGCAAGUGCAUUUUGAGUUGUAGUUUGGGCACUUAGUCUAAAAGGUUCACCAUCACUGGCCCAAGUGCUUUCUGUUCUCAUAACGACUCUAUUAGGUAGGCUGCGUUGUAUCCUCCUUUUACAGAGGAGAAAACUGAGGCACUGGGAGAUUAAAUUACCUGCCCAAGAUCACCCAUCUAGGACAUAGCAGUGCUGAGACUUGAAUUCCAGCCAAUCUAGAGCCCAGGCUGGCUUGAGAAGUUUUUCCUUCAACCACUUUGUGACAUCCCAUACCAGCUCAGUGUUGUCCCCUGCCACUUUCCCAUGGCCUUACCAGUGCAACCACGCUGCUGCCGGCUCGUCCCUCACCCCAGCUCUGUGCCCAUGCACACUUGACAUAGCAGCCUUGGCAAUCCCAGCCCUACUGGUCACCCCAAUGAAGGCAGAGUGCAGAAGACUGGGUUGUGGAAGGUGUAAUGGGCCCCUCUCUCUGCCUGUCACCUUUUCCCUACAGAUGCCAGGGCUGCUUCGACAGUUAGGAGAAGACCCAGACCAUUCUAUAAGGACUGAGAGGUGGGAUCUUUGGGGAUAGGAGAGACGCCAUAAGUCAGUGCCUUCCAAAGGGGACCUUGCUUCGUACUUGAACCUCACCCAGUCAGUCGAGGUGACUGUGCUCUCCAGCGACUGAUAGCUUCAGCAUGCCCUGGCAUCACUCAACACAGACCAGCAGUCCUGUGCAGAGAAGUCAUGUUGCGUUAGCAAUUCUCCAUCACACUGUGUCAUAUCAGGACUGUAUUGUAUUCACAGUUGCUUCUGCUAAUGUGACACGAAAGUUACUAAUCUGAGGAGACUCUUGAGCAUUGUAUCAGGGAAAACAAAUAUUAAUGUGAAUCGAUGGAAGUGGCUAAUAGGAAACCAGGUUGGUUAUGUGACAUGAUGGGUAGGUGGGAGGAAUUGGGGUUGGUGCUUGAGCUUUUCUGGAAGGCUUAACAGAGUUGGGGUGCAGGAGCUCCAUGGUAGUCACUCAGAGAGUUAAGAUCAGUGUCUUUCCGUACAAUGUCACUUCCACCCCCAGACCCUCACCCUUUUACUGGGUUGAAUCCUGUCUCCCCAAAAUUCCAAGCUACUCAGACCCUUGGGAUAGGAGCUUGUUUGGGAAUAGGGUCUUUGCAGGUGUCAUUAGUUAAGGUGAGGACAUUCUGGGGAGGAUGAACCCUUAAUCCAGUGCCAGAAUCCUUGUAAGAAAGCCUAUGAAAAAUAGACACACAGAGAGGCACCUGUGUAACAACAGAGGCAGAGAUUGAAGUGAUGCAGCUACAAGUCACACAAGCCAAGGAUGGCCAGGGCCACCAGAGCUGGAGGAAGCCAGGAGGAUCCUCCCCAGAGACCAGAGCAAGUGUGGCUCUGUCAGCCCUCGUCUUGACUUUGGACUUCUGGCCUCCAGAGCUGUGCGAAAGUCAUUCCUUGUUGCUGUAAGCCACCUGGUUUGUGAUAAUUCAUUUCUGCAGCCCGAGGAAGUUAACAUACCCCUUUCCCAUCACACCCCAGAAAAUCAGGGAUGGGAACAGUAGCACUUAUUUAGCUCAGAGAUAGCAAAACAUAUCAGGGAUGUUCUUGCAGCCAUGGUGGGCUGGCCUGGAUGCUUAACCAGACCUGGGGACAGGGGCCUUAUUCUCUGCCCUGCUUUUUUCUUUGUUGAGAUGGAAAAGGCCUCUCUGUCGCAGGGUGGUUGGCAUAUGGGCUCCACAGCCUGCUUCGCGUCACGUUAAUAUGUGAUUAAAGGGGUCUUAAAACACCCAUUAGUCCCCCUCUGGUAUCUAAUAGCACUUUUGGAUUUAGAACAGAAUAUUAUUUACUCAUUAGCUGAUAAUAGACCCUGAGUACACGCUGUAUGUAUUGGGACAAUUAUUAGAGUCAAUUACACACAGAGACAUGGUGCUGCUGGUGUCACUGGUGGCAGGACAGGUGCUCCAUUGGGCAUGGGGGUGGCACAGGAUGACCAACAAGAAAAGCAGAGGCUUUCCUAGAGAUUGUUCAGGGGCUACAGCAGACAAAAAGGAAUUCCAGAUGCAAACAGAGCCUCUUGGAGGCCCCAGUGGAAGGGAUGUUGAGGGGUAGGAUUUGAGAUAACGUCCAAGAAUGGGGUGCCAACAGCAACAGCCCUCUGCCCCACAGCAGUAAGGAGUGGUACCCAAGCAUGGCCCAAAUCCCCCAAGAUGAGAGUAUGAAUUACCAGUGAAUGCCAACACCAGGAUCCAGGGGUGGCUGGUUUGCCCAAGACACAGAGUAAGUAGCUCGGUGCAAACUCAGAUCUUCCUGUGACAAGACCUGGCUUCUUUGCAACAUUCCACUCUACCCACUGCAGAAACUUCUAGCUGAUUCCAAGCUUCCUUUUGUUCAGUGGAAAGAGGAAUUCUAACCCAUUUCCUCUUGUGUUUACUUUGUUGGAGAGAUGAAGGUGGAAGGUUGUGCCUCUUAUGGCUGGGUCCUUAGCCUCAGGUCCAGUGUACUGGAAUGGCAGAGGUGGAGGAGGAGGAUUGGGUAGGGUCAGGAAGCAAGAAAAAUCAGCAGUGACCGGAUUCAGCUAGUGGUGGGGGUCAGUGUCUCUACUCAAGGUAUCUGGGAACUAGGAUGGAGUGGGAAAGCAGGCAGAGCCCAGUGAAGUUUUCUAGUACCCGGGUGAGGCCUUUUGGUGCCUGAUGGUGUUGGCAUCAUCAGGAGGGAACAGACCCUGGAGAGACCCAGCAUCUGUUUUGCAGGUGUCUUUGGCUGAUUCCUCUUGUGGUGAUGAAGGUAGAGAAGUUUAGGCAGCCCAGUUUAAUGAGCAUGAUGCAGUGUGCAAAGAAAGUUCCAAGUUUGAUCUUCACACAUCUUUGACCUUAGCAAGCCUGACCUUCAGGUCAUCAAUUUGCCAUGAUUUUGCAAGUGAGCAUGUAAACCUCUUAGUACAUAUGCUUUUCAUCUUAUGAUGAGGAUGCAUCCUAAUGAACCCAUUAUAAUAUGAAAAUACUGUAAAUUGAAAAUGCAUUUGAUACACCUAACCUCCCAACUGUCCUGGCUGAAGCCCAGGAAGGGCAGUCCUUUCAGCAGUGUGGCCACCAGGGACACCACAGGAGCUGAAGGUGGGUGCCAGGUGUAAUUAGGGACCCAGUCUCUCCUUUGUUAUUGCCUGAGCUAAGAAUAGGCUCCUGUGAAAGACUCUCAGGGUCGCUAUCCACUGCCCUGGGAAGGAGCCAGGGAGAGGGCACAGCUUGGCAAGGGUGCUCCCAUGUCAUCUCCCGCCCCAAACAUGUGGGUCCCAUACCUCAGCCAAGCCAGAUAAAUAAGCCAGUUCCCAGGGGUGUGCGGCAGGUAGGGGUGUGUGUGUGUGUGUGUGUGUGUGUGUGUGUGUGUGUGUGUGUUAAUAAAACUCACCAGGAGCCAGAUAUCAAUUUCUGUCAGAGAGACGCAGAGCAUCUGAACCAGAACUAAAUAAAAAUAAACAUUAAACAAUUAUUGGAAUUUAGGUUUAUUUAAAAAGUCAGCGGGGUUGAGGGAACAAGCCACCCAUUAGCGAGGCACAACUAUUGGGCCUUUUAACAACCCGCUGUUUCUUGGCUGCCAGAGAGAUUUGGGCUGUCCAAGCUGAGGAAACUCCGGAUCCUAUUGAUUAAAGAUGAUGCAGUAACAGGCCAAUUAUAUCGUGGCGGCUGCUUGUGGCGCUGGCCGACCCUGGCUUCCCAUUUGUCUUUAUGGAAAUGGUUUUGUUGGGGUUCUUAGGGAGGGUGGCAGAGUGUCCCCAUCCUGAACACAGCUUUCUACCUUCCAUGGCCCCUGCAGUGGGAUGGGGGCUUCAAACCCUAGCUGCCCCAGAUUCAUGUGUUUUUCUCCUCCGGGUCCCCUCCGUAGACAUCGGUAGUUCAAAAGAAGCCUGUGCCUUGUCAACCAAAUCAAUGCAAAUAACCAGUGAGCAUUUCUCAACUUUUCAGUAAUAAUUGAUCUUCCCAGAACUGAUAAGGUUUGGAAAAUGUAAGCAAGGAGAGCAGCAGCGAGCCAGAUGUCAGCAUUAAGAGAAUAUAAUUGCUCUGAAUUAUAGGAAAAGAAAUGAUUUCCCUUCCAGCCUUAGCUCCAGAAGAGCUGAGCAAAGUGUCACGAAGCACCAAGGAGCUUCCCAUAAACUCGGGGCUUAGCACAGCCUCCGUCUCUCUGCAAGAAGAUUUGGGUAGCUGCGGGACUAGAAUCCUCUGAGCUGACAGGCAGAUUUCCCACCUGCAAUUUUUUUGGCCUCCAGGUUUUUCUUUGGAAAAUGUCUGCACAGCCAGUGACUGCUGGGGAGGGAGAGAGGGAGAAAAGAUGCACCACCCUUCUAGAGAGACAGCCAGGUGCAGCCAGAGUUGUUGGCCCAGCGGUGGCGGUCUCCUGUGAGCUCGUUUCUUCUUCCUCUUUGCUGCUGUGAAAGUCAGAUGGGACAGUGUCUUAGUUACUUUUCUCGUUGCUGAGACAAAAUACCCAACACCCAAAGUUAAAGGAGGAAAGGUUUGUUUAGCUCACAGUUGGUAGAGGUGUCAGUCCAUAAUCGGCUGGCUCCAAGGCAGGGUGGCAUGGCAGAGAAGAAACAGUUCGUGGUGGGCAGAAGGUAGUAGAGCAACAAGGGACGGCCACAGCUCUUUCUACCUCUUAUGUCUUAUCCAGGCUACUUAGGGCAGGUAGCACUCAUGCCCUUAGUCCUACUGCCCUUGAUCCUAGCAUUGCGCCAUAAAUCAAUUCCAGCAUCACACACUGUAGAUCCGGCCACCUCUACCUAUGACCAUGAGAAGCUUUGGGGGCACAUCUAAACACAAGCCAUAACAGACAGACGGGAUGGAGGCAGGGAUCAUCUAUGGUUCAGGGGGGUGGAGAAUAGGAUGCCUCGGGCACUUUCAUUAUGAGCUUCUCAUUCUUCCAGGACUCAUUCAUUUGUUCAUUCAAGCAUUCAUUCAUGUGCUCCUUCAGCACAUCAUUCUCUGCCAGGCACCUUAGGUGCUGGGAGCACAGGGGUGCCUGCCUUUCUGGCUGUGAAGGCGUAGACACUGGACAGUUAGUGAUUACAUCCCAGUUGCCACGGUGCUCCAUAGAAAUGAAAAGGGAAAACUGAGGGCCAGACCAUAGGAAUGUGACCUCGUCUUGGAGUGCUGGCCUUGUGGAGCAGUGUCUAAGCCACAACUUGACUGAUGGGUAGGAUGGAGCAAGGCCAUAGGUUGUCAGACUCAAAUGUGCAGUAGAGUCACCUGGAGGUUUCCUUGAAAGGAAUGUCUAACCCCAUUCCCGGACCUUCCCCAUCACUGGUUCUGGAAGCGGUCCAAGAAUUUGCACUUCUCAGAAAUUCCUGGGUGACACUGAUGGUGCUGGUCCAAGGCCCACAUUUUGGGAACCACUUAAGUAUAAAUAAGAGGAGAGGGCAUUCAAGUUGUGGAAACUGCAUGUGUGAAGGCCCUGAAGUGGUAGGAGCUUAACAGUCUCCAGGAACAGAAAGGAGGGUCAGAAUGGUGAGAGCAAAGUAAAGGGAUGGUGGAGGAUACAUUGGAAAAGCAGUCAGGCUCUGAUCACACUGGCCUGCACGCUGAGCUGGAGAGUUCCCGUUUGAUCUGAAAUCUGGGGAGGCUUGAAGCAGGAAGGGCCAGCAUCUGGUUUCUAUCUUAAAAUGUCCUUUUUGGUUGCUGAGAGGGAAUGAGAUGGCAGAGAAUUAACUGCUUGGGGCGGGGGAACCCCUCAUGGUGGCAUCCAGGCAGUGACUGGACCAGGCUGGUGACAGAGGACAUGGAGAGGCACAGGACAUGUCUGAGUGUUUUGAGUCCAGCCUCCCACUUCCCAGGAUCAGCGUGCGUCCACUCUUCAAUCCCAGAAACUCAUGUUUUAUCUGAGGAAGUCAUACGUUGAUAGCGACAUUGUGGUCAGAGCUGACUCUAGCUUCCCUGCAGCCCCCUGCUGCCACACAACCCCUCUGACAGUGGGUGGGUCUAAAACACUUGACCAUUGACCAGCUAGGAUCCCGCCUGUGACCUCAUUUUCCCAAAUAACCUAGGGGAAAAGAUGGAGUUGGCCAAUGCCAAAAAUUGGGGUUCGCAAAGGGUGAGGGAUUCUCCCAGGCUCACCCAGCUGGGGUGAGUAACAGGCAGGGCUCCCCACCUGGCCUGAGAUGCCAUCUGCUAGGCAGACACGGGAGCUGACACCUCCAAUGGAGUACCUCAGAAGGUGACCACAUUCCUCUCCAGUAGCGUGAGCCAUCUGUCCCCAGGAUGCUGGCCAGUCCACCAGAAACAUUCAGAUGAAAUUACCACUUGGGGGCGGUCAUAUGGUCACAUAUCAGCAGUUUCCUAUGGUUCAACCUAAAUCAAAGUACGAGGGGGUUGCAUUUCUAGAAAAUUCUGCCGCAGCAGGAAGAAGAGGAACGCUGUGCAGUCUGAACCCUCUCUGUGAGCCACUUCCCACAUGCAAAAGCUGAUGAGGGGCCGUACAGGGAUGCAGCAUCUUAGAAUCAGUCUAUAAUGCAAUCAAUUUUGUAUAUCCCUGGUGAAACAGCAACAUUUAUUUAACGUCUUUUAUAGAGCAGCUGAGUUUUAUCACAAAUCACAUUCCAUUUCUAUUCAUCUGGGACUCCUUGAAGGCUAAAAUGCACUUACUUUUCUCAGAGGAAAUUUACCAAUUCCUCAAUAAAGACCAUUUGCCUCUGUAUGUAAAAUUGACACAUUUAUUGAAUAUUAAACAUUUAAGGGGUUUUUUUCCAGCUCACCCACACCUCCUUAUACAUUUCCACGAAGCUUCAUAGUCACCAGGCUUCCCCGAAUGGUGAGAAAUGGGACAUUUAAAUUGGGGCUUUCUUAUUACUGGAAAAUGGUCGUGUUACAUCAUCAACGUAUACGGCAACACCCAAGCUCAGAGUAGCCUCUUGAAGCCAUGUGCUUUUGCUGUCUCUCUGUGGUAGACUUGGUCACAGGGCCAUACUGUGUUGGGUUCAUGAUAAAAGUUUUUUUGCCUACACUUGUAACAUUUGCAGAAGGCAGGCACUGCCUCCCUGACAAUAAAUUGUGCUAAUUAGCAUGAGGGCCUAUUAAUAAAGCAAGUUUCCUUUUAUCCAUGUUCCUGAAUGGUUGGGGACAUCAAUUAAAGUGCGUGCUUGGGACAAUGUCUUUUCACUGCUAGUUGCUCUGUUUUUGUUUUAAGAAAAAAAAAAAAAAAAAACAGGGGGCUGGGCAACUGAUUGUUUUUGUGUCCUCAACAUGAGAGAAGGCUGAACUGUUGAACUUGGGGCUCAGUCACCAGGUCCACAUUUCCUAACUGCGAUUCUCAAAGCGUGGUGGGGGAGGGCGGUGAUGGGUGCUUACCCUGGAUUUAAUUUUAAAUUAAAAGCAUUGGGAACUGUGCUUUAGAGCAAAUGGGUUGAGUUGGAGGGGUAUCUCAUGAGGUUGGCAAGCAGGCAGACUCAAGUUCAAAUCCUGGCUUCUCUAUUUACCAGCUUUGUGACCUCAAACUAGUGAUUUUACUUCUUUGAGCCUCAGUGUCCUAUACAAUAAGGAUAAUCACAGUGCCUAAGUCCUAGGGCUAGCGAUAGGAUUAAAAGAGAUGAUCUAUAAGGAAGUUCUGGAAGGAACCUCAAACCCCAGCCCCCAGAUUCAGGCUUGAGUUUCCUGCUCACAGAAAUCAGUUGAUCAGUUGAUGCUGGGAUGGCUUUGGGGACGAAGGACUCACUGCUGGUCACCAGGGCCAUCAUCCUUAUGUUGGUCUGAAACCUGUCUGUGGGAACUUCCUUUGCUUACCUGGAUCUGAGCUUCUCUCCUAUCUAGUCCUCUGUGCUCCGAGGGAACCACCUGUCACUUUUUGUAGAGCCACGUGCUCAGCGUUGUGCACGGUUGACAUUUCAGACCGGGUGGUUGUUUGUUGCAGGGAGUGCUGUGGGCACUGCAAGGUGUUUAUCAGUGUCCCUCCCUGCCCUCUGCCCCUAGGUCCCCAUAGCACCCCUCUCCAGUUGUAAUAAUCAAAAUAUCUCCAGAGGGCUGGGGCUCAGUGGUAGAGCACUUGCCCAGCAUGCGCAAGGCUCUGGGUUCCAUCCCCAGCAUUACAACAACAAUAAAAAGUAUCUCUGCCCACUGCCAAAUGUGUAGGAGAGUCCUGAUUGAGAACUACCAUUCUAGAGUUUGGGUCUUCCCAGUGCCGGCCUCCUCCAGCCACGCACGUUCCAUCUCUCCUCACUGCCCCCUUUUUCAUGCCCACCUGCCUGUGUGCCCAACAGAAGCUACAACUCAGAUCCUGAGAACCCAGUGGCAAACACCAUGAGAAGCCAAAUCCCAUGGCCUGGGUUUUUUUAGGGGGUGGGGUGGGGGUUGUGUUUUUUCCUGCAGCUGCCUUUGCUGGGCUUCCUCAUAGGAAUUUCCAGUCUGGGCACAGGAAUGGUAAGUUCUGGGUGUCUUGAAGCUUCUGUCUAUUUCUUUUUUUUUUUAUGGUACCAGGGAUUGAACUUGGGACCUUGUGCUUGCAAGGCAGGCAGUGGAAUCACUGAGCUAAAUCCCUGGCUUGAAGCUUCUGUCUGAACAAGAAGAGCUAACUUUUCCCAGAGAGAAGGUCAUGGUCACAGCAGGUCUCUGUCUGGGGUUGGCCCAGGUCUGGGUUCGCAGACUUUGCCCCUGGCUAUCCCGGUAACCAUACUUCUCCGAGCCUCACGCAAAUAAUGGGACAAAAAUAGUCACUGUCACAGGGGGCUAUUGCCACAAUUCACCUUCUCACCUCACAGAAAUCUGUACUAUUCUUAUAUUUUUUUAUGUACCAGUCAAAACAAUAAUUUUUAAAAAUAAUAAAACCAUUUAAAAAUCAAAGAGUCACUCCAUACAGAAUGCCCAGCAUAUAGUAAGAAAUCAAUGAUUUUUUGCUAUUAUUUUUUGUUAUUGUUGUUGCUUACAAAUAAGAAACAUACAUCCAAAGAAUGAAUGUAAUUCGCCCAAGGUCACCCUGCAGGUCAGUGUGAAAACAUCGAGCCCAGCAUCUUUUUCCAGAAACCCCAGGGUUUUCCACAAAGGUCUGUGUGUGCAUACAGAGGAAGAGAUUCGAAGAGAAUCCAUUUUAUGUGAUUCUCACCCUAUUAACAGCCCUCGGUUUUGCCAGAAUAUCCUCUUUUCACUUUCAUUUUAAAAACCCGCCAGUGUAAUAAAUCUUGCUCUGAAAUCUCGGCAGCACAUCUUGGCUGGAGUGUAUGAUAAAUCUAAUAUACUGUGGCCUCUCUGUAUGAGAGACCCUGGGACAUAUCUGUAUUUUGGGCGGACAGCCCCAUGGUCUGGCAGGAUUGUAACUUGCUCUUGGGUUGACAAGACCAGCCCUCUGACUGGGUUUAUCUCUGCUCCGCAGCUUCCCUGGCUUGAUGAGGGUAGACUCACAACCCUUUCCUCUCCUUUUCCACUUUCUUUCCUUCUUCUCUCUUUCAUUUCUUUCCUUCCUUCUUUCUAGUCUGGCUGUUCCCUUCUCACAUUUCGUUCACAGAAUGUGACUCAGAACUAGGGAAGAAUUUGGAAGGGACUCAGCUGGGGUUGGGGGAGGCCAUAGGGCACCCAUUUGGACUCUGUAGACUUGGGGGACACUGGCAGAGCAGGACUCCCUACUUUGAUUGCUCAGCAAAUAUUUCUUUAAUACCUCCUGUGUGCCUGACAUUGUGCUGAGAGCUGAGUGUAGAGUCGGAGGCCAGUGGAGAGGCAUAUUUACAGGCAGCCAUCCGAAAUGAAGUCCAGUUAUGGAAGCCCAGGAUGAGAGCUCAGAUGUUCCUACAGUCAUGGCAUCUUAGAUCCGGACCAGAGCAUGGUGGGCAUUCGCUAGACUCAGGGGAGCCCACAGCCCAAGAGUGGGAGUGACAGGAGGGCAGGGGCCAACAUGGGGCAGGGCCAGGCUGAGAGGGGCUGGGCACAGGCCCAUCAGGCUUUUGCUCCUACCUGGGACAGCCCAAUCCAGAGGGUUGGGAGGAGCAGUUUCUUUUUUCACAUUUCCUGCCUGGGGCUGGAGCGGGAGCCCUGUGAGGGGCUGGGACUCCCCUCCUCCCCUCGGAGCCCUGCAGGAACCCAGCAAAGCCCCUGGAAAACCUGGAAACAGUCUUCAAAGGGGUCAGGACUUUGCCCAGUCCCAGCCCCACUCCUCACUGGCCUGCUUACUUCCCCAUCCCGAGCGUGUUUCUCUGAGGCGCCCCUGUGAAACAGGGGUAGUGUCAGUACCCCUUGUGGAGGAGUAUUAGAAAGACAAGUCAUCGCUUCUCGGCCUUUUGGCUGAGAUCAAGUGUAGAAAGACAAGUCAAGGAAAUGCGUUUUGGGUACACAGAACAGGGAACUCUAUAAGCACCUGAGAAAUGUUCAUGAUCAAUUUUAUUUACUCACAGCAUGGCCCUCAGAGGGUUAACUUUGCCUCUUAGGCCUCAGUUGCUAAUCUGCAAAAUGGAGAUAAUAAUUUUCUGGCUUCACAGUGUCACUGAGAGGAUGAAAUGAGUCAGAGCCAUGCCUGGCACAGAGUAGGGCUGAAACGUUGUAGCUGUCACUACUGGUACCGUCGUCAUUGUUACUCCUCUCUCCCCUUCAGUUCCGCAUCCCAGGUUGGUCACAGGCUACAUGACACCUGCCUCACCAACUAUUCCUUCUACCUCAUCCUGCCGAACCCUGAAAAUUGCUUCUCUCUGCCCAGGAGGCUGUAAGCGUCUGCCAAAGAAGUUUUAACAGUAGGAUAUUCAGAUCGUGGACUACAAAAUGGUCACUCAGCUCUUAGAUACCCCUGUAAAGGAGAAUUUGGGCCUUCACAACAGGCUAAGGGAUCGUUUCUUUGGGUUAGUGUCAACCUGAAAAAGAAAAGGUCCCGGGGAACUCCAAUUUGGAAAAUUCUGGCUUUAGCUCACAUUUUCCCAGCUGUCUUACUCUGGAACUUUCUUACUCCUUGCCAUGUAGGACCCACAACAAAAGCCCUGUUGGGAUCUGGUGAAGCUGAGGCCUUCAGUCUUCUUGUCCUGGACCCCUUAGCUCCUGCAGCUCCUGCAGCCAAGGUGGCCCUGUGUGUGGGUCCUGGGGACUCAUAGUCCUCACCUGGCCACCCUGGGCAGCCUGUCCUCAAAAUGAGAAGGCUGGUGGGCAAGGCUUCCCAUGUUAUUGAGGAAAGAAAUACGACCUAGAAACCUUUCUAUAAAAAUAACCUCCUGGCUCCUCCUUUAUGGGUGAGGGAAAGUGCUUAAAAUGCUUAGAGGGAAUAAACAGCUUUUAAUGAAGUUACAUUGCCACAUAAUGGGUAUCAUAAAAUUGCCUUCAUACUACAGGGUCCCAGGAUGGCAUUUAUUAUCGACUGUGCCGGAACAGUCUUUGCAGAGCUCCAGCAGCUGCAGAGAGAAGAAUGCAAAAGUCUCCUUAAAUUAUCUGAUUGAAAUAACCGGUGGAAUAUUCCGCGGGGCCACCGCGUGCCAGGGAAGCCGCCUUUGGGGUGGUCUGUCAGAGGCGGUUUGCACAUUCUGAAGAACACAGGAGUUUCAUUGCAGCAAAACAGAUGUUCAUCUUGUUUCUCCAUCGGCUGUUUGAUGAGAAAUUUAUUGCUCUUCCGCUGGGCAGGAGGCCCCUCUCGGCUGUGGAGUCUAUUAGACAAGCCAGCAGCUGGCAGGAAGCCAAGGUGAGGCUGUUUUGAUGAAACCCAUGAAAAGCUUUGGCUUCAAGGCGCCGGUAAUAAUGCACUGGCUAGACUCUCCUGAUUGGGCGAUUGAUUGGCCUGAUUUGAUUUAUUGAUCAAUACCCUCAAAUUUGGCGUCUGAGAAGCUGCACUAAUCUUUAACUGUUGUGAACAUCUCUGCCUGCUGGAGAAUGAGCCCCUGAUAAGGAAUGUAUGAAAGGAAUCGGGGCUUAUCUUAAUCACACACUGGGCCCCGGCACUGCCCGAGCUGGCGAGGGCCUCCGCGCGCCAGCCCCAUCCCGGGCAGGCCUGUGCAGAUCUAUAAAUUGAUGGAAUUCAAAGCCUCCAGCAUCGAUUACCGUUAUAACAAACAGUGGUGCACAGAAUGUCUGAUUAUUUUUAGACAAAGAUUCUGUUCUCUCAGCAGCAAUUUUGCUGAGGCUGUCACUGACUCAGAUGUCUACUGUUGAUUGCAAUUAGAUGCGAUACAAAAAAAAAAUUAAACUCUCCACAUCCUUACUCUUAUUUCCAGUUAUUAAAUCUCUCUCUUUGUUUGCUGUUUCCUCAUGAUAUCUACAGCUGGAUGAAAUAUUCAGUUUGCAGGAGAAAUCCCUGGAAUCCAGUGGGACGGCGGUGGCCGAUCGCUCACUGGAUUAUGUCUGAUGGGGCGCACCUAAUCUUAGGGGGAGGGGAGCCCAAUGACGGUGCAUCCGGAGGUCCAUUUAAAAGUGUCUGAGGGGAAGGCUUGGGCAGGAAGGUUUCCGGGCAGGCUCAGGGAUAAAAAUCAAUCUCCAAAUCCCUCCCAAUGCCUCUGAUGCAUUUAGUCUCUUUUCCCAUGCAUAUGGGGCAGGUCCUAACCAGGGAUGUGCCCCACCCCAAGGGCCUUGGAGGUUAUCCAAAGCCAUCAGAGCUCAAAGGUUGGCGCCACUUGAAAUAAUUAAUUCCUCCAAACCCAGACGGUGCUCCGGACCCCUUCCACACUAAAUCAUAACCUGAAGAGCAGGCUCCAGGUAAUUGUGGGGACAAACAAAUUAGGCAUUCCCUUUUACACGCAGUCUGGCGGCCAGCAUCUUGGCAUUGGGCGAGUCCAUUCAUCAUCCUGAUGCUCUCCAGUUGAUCUGUCUUCUCAGAGCCAUUAGCCCCAGAGUCCUUGACGGUGGAACAGCUGUAAACUUGAGACCGUCGGUGGGGUGGCCAAGACUGACAAUUCAUUACACAGUUGGAUGGAGAAGAAGGCUCAGGUGACAAUGCCAAGGCCUUCCAGUUCCCAGGCGCCAGAUCUGCAUGGAAUUGGCAACUGCCAGCUAAUUUUAGAAUGCUGAGAACUGGGGGUCCGGAAGGAGGGGGUGGCUGCUCUGACUUUGGGGUCAGACAAAUGGGUCCUGCAGAAAUUGGCUGCACUCAGAAAGCCACCGAUCACCAAGGGGAGCAUGGGCAAGGUCAUCUUCUGGUGGGCUCGGGACACUGGUUCCUGAGCCAGCCCGGGGUCAGACAUUCAAACACCCCAGGAAGGACGCUACUCAGGAUGAGUGGAGCAGACUCCAAGGCUUCCGAGGGCAGGUGAGAGCAGGGUGGAUCUGUUCAGUGAUCACCAGGGUAACUCCUGCCAUUUGUUCAUCAUCAGUUACUCCAGGUCCGAAGGCCUACGCCUCCUACUGUCCAUUUACCCUCAGAGGGUGGGAAGAUCCCGAAACUGAGGCUCUGGGAGAGGCCUGGCCAAGGUCACACAGCAAAGAAGUGGUGACACUGGAAUUCAGAUUCAUUUGGCUCAAUCAGUAUUUGCUGAAGAGAUGAAUGAAUGACGCAGAGGCUUCCAGUGGGGACUCCUGGAUAGCCAAGGUUGAAAAGACCUCCAGGCAGGCCCAGCAUUUGAGCUGCUAGGGCAGCUCCUGCUUCAUCCUCAUGGCGCAGAGCUAUGCCCAGGCCCCAGCACCCUCAGUGAGAAGAACCAGUUUGAUGUCACCAGGAAGCUCCAUCAGAGAACACAUCAGGGUCUGACCGUAGGGAGGAGCAAUACUGGGGUCUCAGGAAGCAGAGUGAACUCACUGGUCCCCUGGCCGGGACAGACACCCUCAGCCAGAUAGCACUGCAGUUGAUAGUUUAAACCCUGAAGUCAGACUGACCUUGGUUCGAAUCCCAGGGUCAUCAUGCUCUUAGUUCUUUGUGACCUUGGACAAGUGAUGAGCUUAUCUGGGCUUUUCCCUCUCAAGGUGACUGUGAGGACAUAGCGAAGUGACGCACAUCACAGUGCCUGGCACAUGUUUAAUGGUGCAGUCCUUGUGGUCUAGGGGAUGUGGGGACACUCUGCACCCCCUGGCGGACAGUUGUGACUAACAAAUGCAUUUGGCUCAGAAUUCCAAGCCAGGGCAAACAGUCAUCCAAUAACCUCUCUGAAGUCACAGAGCAAGUGACCGGCCAACUCACCGUCUUAUCACCCACUGUCACCCUUUUCUGGACAUAUUGUCUGUGUCACUCCCCUCUUUCCCUGUCACAUCCUUGAUGUCCAGCCUGCUUAGGACAGGUGGUCCCGGCACGCUGUGGGGAGGGCAGCAAUCCCCCACAGGUGGGUGGGGCAAGCUGGCAACAUCUAUCACAUUUACAAAUGUGCUUGCCCCAUGACUGGCCCUGCCUCGUCUAAGAACUUACCUUUUAGGUACAUUUGUCUUUUUAGAUAUGUGGUACCAAAAUGAACGUCUCACAUUGAUGUGGCAUCAACAGUAAGAGCAAAGCCUUGCACUAACCAAAGUGUCCAUGAGUUGGGGAUUGGGCAUAACCUAAGUGUCCAUGAGGGGGCCCUGAUGCACAAAAUAAGGUGCAUCCACACCAAAUACUCUGCGCUUGUAGAGAGGGAAAGAGAUGCUCUUUAUGUCCUAAUGAAAAGAGGCAGAUACGGUCAAUCCUCUGAAAAUGGCACAUUGUAUAACACAGUGUGUAAUAUGCUCUGGGUAAAACGAAAGGAAAAAAGGGAAAUGGGUAUGUAUUUGCUUGGAUAUUUAUGGAAUAUCUUCGGAAGGACACAAACAUGCUGGACACCUCUGGAGAAAGGAAUUUUAAUGUUAAAUCCUAUCUCAGUAAAAUGUUACUCUUUUUUUUAAAAAAAAUGAUAUAAUGGAAAGAGCUUGGACUCUUGGAGUCAAAUAUGGAAGCAAAUACUGACUCUAUUACUUACUGGCUGGGUGAUCCUUGAUAAGCAACACCAACUCUUUGUGCCUCGGGUUUGGGGGUUUCUUUUGUGGAUUUUCGUCAUUUGUUUGUUUUUGUUUUGUGGUACAGGGUCUUGUGCUGCUAGGCAAAUGCUUUACCACUGAGCUACAUCCUCAACCCUCUUCAAUUUUAUUUUGAGACAAGGUCUCGCCAAGUGGCCCAGGCUGACCUCAAACUUGAGAUCCUCCUGCCUCAGCCUCCCUGUCAGUUGUGAUUGCAGGUAUUCACCAAUGCAUCCAGCUUUGCCUCCGUUUUGAUGCCUAUAAAAUCAUGACAAUGUGGGGAGUGGCAGGUGUCUGAGAUAUGCAUCAACCAUAGUUAUCGGUGGUUAUUGUCUCCAGCCCCAGGCUGAAAGGAGGGGCUGUUUAUGUCAGCACUGGGCGCAGAGUCCUUCCCAGGGGUGCCCAAGCCCUAGCCUGUGGGCAGGGUCCUGAGGAUGAAGGCAGCUCCCUUAGCCUCUCAAGAGACAUGACACUCACUCAGAGCAGCCCCUGACCCCAUUAGCCUGGAAGGCUCAGUGACAGAUCCUCCCCAGAGCUCAGCUCCCAGAGGUUGAAGUUCCUGUAAUGAGACUCAGUUCCCAGCUCGGCCAAGAGGGUCAUGGUGGGGGCUCUGUACGUGGAGCUGCUGAUGUGAGGUAGGAAUGUCAGGCAGCUGUUCUCUCUCCUUGUCUCAUCUUCUCUCCUGAUCUCCUCUGCCCAUCUCUUCCUCCCUCCCUCUCUCUGAAUUCCUCCUUCCCUCUUGGUUCUUCUGCCUUUCUACUCCCUCUGCACCUCUCUCCCAUAGACCUUCUUCUCAGAACCUAAGCACUUACCGGGGCUUCCUAGAAGCUGUGAACCUUAAGCUGAGACCAGAAUGAAUUAGACAAUGAGGUGGUAGCUAGCAAGGGAGCAGUCCAGACAGUGAGGACUGCAUGUGCAAAGGUCCUGAGGUUGGGUGGGACUGCAAGCUGAGUAUUCACUUCACACCCAGAGACUCCAUGCAGCAAACCUCCUGCUGUACACAGGGUAGGAAGGAUGGAGCAUGGAGCCAGAAGUCCUCGGAUUUGCUUUCCAUGCCCACUGCCUGCCAGCUGUGUGACUUUGUGUGACCUUCCCAGUCUGAGGCUCUGCUUUCUCCUUGUGGAGAUGGUGAUGGUGUAAACCUGAGAGGGUCACUGUACACAGCAGUAUUCGUAAAUGUGCUGAGCGCAUGCUGGUGCUCGCCAGGGUUCUGCUCUUUGUAACCUUGUUGGGCUCCCUGAUGCACUGUGCCCCCGGCUAGGAAUCCCUGUCGUAUGGGCAGCUGGCGGGAGGCUCUGAACCUGCAUCUCAUCCGUUCUUCCUUGGAACCCAGGCCUGCGCAGAUGUGGCCCGAAUGCUCCUGCUGCCUCGGGGGCUUGCGUUUGCUGUGCCCUUUCAGUAAAAGGCUCCUCCCCGACAUAGCUGUGUGCCUUGACUGGCUGCCCCCUGUAGGCCUUUACCAAAAGUCCCCCUUCACCAGGCAUAAUGGCUCACAUCUGUCAUCCUAGCUGCUGUGGAAACUGAUGCAGGAGGAUCACAAGUUCAAGGCCAGCCUGAGCAAUUUAAGAAGAGCCUAUCUCAAAGUAAAAUUUAGAAAGGGAUGGGAAGUAGCUCAGUGGUGGAGCACUUACACACAGCCGCCCUGGGUUCACUCCCUAGUACCAAAAGGAAAAAAGGAAGUUCCCUCCUCAGAGGCCUGCCCUGGCUGUGUCCUCUGAAGCCCUCCCACCCCUUCCCUCACCUCUCCUGGCCCCUUCCCUGCUUGAUCUUUCUCCCUCCCUGUGUCCCUGCUUAAAAGCAUUCGGUAACCCCCCACUGCUCAGCAGAGAUCUUUGUGGCCCUGGGGUAUCCUUGGGGCCUGCCACCCCCACGUGAAGAUGUAUGACGGGCCCUGUAUGCUCAUGACAGGCUGCUGGGUUAUCCGAGGCAGCAGUCAGUGACACCCGUCCCUGCAGAGCUCUGGUGGAAGUGGCUUCCCCAGCCCCCUCCCAGGGACUGCAGACAGACUGGCCCGUGGCUGCUUCCUCACCACUGGCUUCGGCUCACAGAUGUCCAUCUCAGGGGCAGGGGUGGUGGAGACCAGAGCAGGCCUGGGAUCCUGGCCAUGACCUGGUGCAAGUCACGCCCCCUGGCUGCAUGUAGGAAAUUGAUAGAGUCACAUCCAUCUGCCUCUGGCUGCUGACUACAGGGCUGCUAGUCUUUGGGACUGGCUCAGGGGCUGACAGGCCAUUGUGGUCAAAAGCUUGGGUAGUGGAACCAGGCUGCCUGGGUUCGAUUCCAGCUUUGCUCUUUGCUUGCAGUGUGCCCUGGGGCAGGUAAGUUGACCUCUGUGCUUUAGCUUCCUUGCUAGAGUGGGAAGCGUGACUAAGGACUGUGAUGAGGAUGAAGGGUGUUCAUGUGUGCACAGGUGCUCGGUCUGUGUUUGGUGGAACAAGCAGGUGUAGUUGGGGGCCCUUGUCUGUGGCUUCUGUGUAAAUGCUGUCCCAGACUUGAGGCUAGUUCCUCCACGGGCCUUGCCAGGCUGCCAAAUGGCUAUGGCACAGUUUUCUCUUUCCUUUCCAUUGAUUACCAUUUGGUUAUGGCGGGUGCAGUUGGCACAGGUAGGCAAAUGCAGCCUUGGGUCCUCCCCUCCAUUCACCAGGCUUUGGACCAGUGCGUUGGUUCCCCCGCACCCUCCAAAGUGACCAGGGAAGCUGUUUCUUGAUAUCAUCGUGAACUCUUGGAUUUAAAUCUCUGGUGGAUUCAGUCCCUUGCAGUCACUGUCCUUGAAGCUCAAGUCCCUGCCCCCCUUGCCUGUAGGAUCCCCUUUAAAUCAACACCUGUGGCCUUAACCUUGACCAAGUCCCCUUGAGGGAGGUGGGCAGUACAGGUGAUAACAAGGUGAAGCUCCAUGAGGCCUCAGGACCUGCUUUGGAUGCUGUGAGUCAUGGUGACAACCUAGAAUUAGAUGCUUGAUGUAGAAGAAAUAAAGGAGAAGCCAGGCAUGCAUAGGCCUAGGCACAGUGUCUGAUCCUGCCCACUUUCUGGCAACAUACCAAGCCCCUCUAAACUUCAAUUUAUCCAUCUAUAAAAUGGAGUUAAGCCAGGCAUAGUGGUGCAAGUCUAUAAUCCAGGCUGCUCCAGAGGCUGAGGCAGGAGGAUCGCCAGUUUGAGGUCAGCCUGGGCAACUUAGCAAGAACUAUCUCAAAAUAAAAUAAAAAGGGCUGAGGGUGUAGCUCAUUGAUAGGGUGCACAAGCUCAGUCUCCAAAAUGACAAAACAUUUUAAAAGGAGAUUAAUAACAUUGACAACCUGGGAUAUGUGAUAGUUUAAAUGACAUCAUUGUGUAAAGUCUUUGGCACAGGGCCUUGUACCCAGCCAGCAGUCGGUGAGUGGCAACAGUAUUAUCCUCAGGAUUAUUAUCAUCAGGACUCAGUAAGACACCAACCCACAGAGAGCUGUGUGGGACCCAGUGCUCCCUCCUUUCUUCCCUUCCCAAGGGUCUCCAGACUCUCCCCUCCUUCAGUGUUGGAAUGGGGUUUCUCAAAGGACAAAGUCAGAGACCUCACCCACUUUCUAAUGAAUCUUUCAAGCUGGAUGCUGUUCAGAGAAAGAAACCUAAUUUUUUACUAGGUUUUACUUUGUCAUCUGACCUUCUAGGCCAGCUCAACAUUUCCAGGGUUGCUGGGCCUCUGAAAGCCAUUUGUAAGCCUUUAUAGGUGACCCCCAGCCCCAGCCCCUCAAUCUUUCUUUGGUCACAUCACUUCCACUUCCACGACAGAGCUGUCCCCUGGCUCAAGUCAGUGACGGGUGGGUCAGACAGAGGCCUGGCUGCCAGUCACCUCAUAACCCAAAAGCCAUCAAUCCAGUGUUUUUACUGAGUCAUUUUGAUUUUAAAGUUGGCCUUUCUGUUUCACUUUCUUACCUGCCCUCAAGAACAUAUUUUCAAAAACCCUAAGUGAGCCAGCCAGGCUGUGGCUCAGCCAUUAAAAUCGAUGAGAGCCGAGCAUCACCUGAUGGAGGUGCUCUGGAACGCUUUGCAAAUACAUCUUUUGGCUCUGGAGCCCACCUCUUGCCUUGUUCAUUCAGCAGGCAUUUAAUGAACACCUACUGCACACACAUUCCUGAAUGGGUGUUCUCCCUCAAUUGAUAGUUACUACCAUAGUAUCCACGGCAUCAGGAAUAAAGAACAGAAGUAAUGGAGGAGACGGAAGAGGAUGGAGGAGAAUAGAGAAGUGCUGGGGCAGGAAGGGCCAGCUCUGCCUUGUGCCCAAGGAAGCAGGCACUGAGUGCCAGGUGUCUUCAUAGGCCUGAGACACAAUAGAAGAGACACAGAUCCUACCAUCAGCCUUGAGUGGGGGAGACUGCAUAAGACAGACAGAUCUGGACAGCCUGCAGAAUGCUGUGAAGGAAGCCACCAGGCUGAGAGAAUAAGAACAGGAUCUCCUGCAGUAUGGAUGGUGAAGAAGGCCUGGAGGAUCCAGUUACAGGGACGAGAGAUCAAGCAAGGGGCAGCAACAGGUGCAAAGGCCCUGAAGUGGCUAAGAAAGUCAGAGUGGCUGUAACCCGGAGACCAGGAGAGUGUGAGGGAGAGAAGUGGGCAGAGCCUGACCACACUCCCCUUGCUGACCCAGGUGAAGACAUGAGAUUUCAGCCUCAAGAGUGGCAGGGUAGCACCUUUCUUUGUCAUGACAGAGUUUUUAGGCCAUGCAGUGAUGGCUUCUGAUUCAUGUCUGUGAAUGCACAGCAGGAGGACGGGGAGAGACUGUUGCACCAGUCCAAGCAAUGAUGGGAGUGUGGGGCAGUGGAUAUGAUACAUAUGGGCACAUUCAAGGGAAUUUUGGUUAGAGGAAAGUUUCCCCUCCCACCCCCUGGAACAUUCAGAAAAAUGCCCAGAUCAAAGGGCACAGCUCAGCAAAUGGCCACACCAAACACACCAGCCCUGAGACCAAGCUGCCCCGUCAGCCAGAAACGUCUCUUGGACCCUCUGCAGUCUAUGUCCUCGAAGACAGAACCACGAUCCUGACUUCUCUGGCCAGUGUCCAUGCCUCACGUGAAUGAAAUCUUACAGUGUGUUUCCUUUUGCAUCUAGCUUCUUGCUCAACAUUACGUGUGUAAGAUUUAUCAAUAUUGCUUCUUGUUGUAGUUCAUUCAUGCCCGAGGCUGCGCUGUAGUAUUCCGUGGGGUGAAUACAUCACAGAGUUAUUUAUCCAUUCUAUGUUAAUGGGCAUUUGGGUUGAUUCCAGUCGGGUGCUAUUAUGAAUGGUGCUUCUGUGAACAUUCCAGACCGGCGCUUCUCAAACUUUAAUGUACACAUGAAUCACCUAGAGAGCUUGUUAAAAUACAGAUCCAGAUGCCAGAGGUAGGGGAGGGGCCUGAGCUUUUACAUUUAUAGAAAGUUCUCGGGUGAUGCUGGUGCUGCUCACCCACAGGUGUACUUUGCAAAGUAAGACUUUAUUUUGGUGGAUUCAUGUCUCUGGGGCAGGUACCCAGCAGGGGACAUGCUGGAGCGUAGAGACACAUGUUCCCUUUAACAGACUCCACUGACACCUCCUCCAGCACUAUCUGAGGUUCUGGUUGCCUCUCGUCCUUGUCAGCCCUUAGUACUGUCUACCUUUCUCUGUGACCAUUCUGGUGGGUAGGCAGCCGCUUCUCAUGGUGGUCUGAACUUGGCCUUCUCUGAUGGCAGUGAGGUUCAGCAUCUUUUCCUGUGCCCACUGCCCAUUGGGUUCCUCAUUGGUGUGGCACUGGUCCAGUCUCUUGCCCGCUUUGAAGUUGUUUCUCUCUUUCUAACCGAACUUUUAGGAGUUCUCAAUUGUGGACACACUCCUUUAUCAGAAAAACUGCAUAUCCCUUCUCCCUCCCACACUGUGGCCUUUGCACUGUUAUUUCACCUGUUCUUUUAAAUUCAGCAAUCACUGCUGGGGGUGGGGAGGGGACAGUGAUUCUCUUUUGCUGUUCUAACCAGCUUACAGGGUGUCACCGGAAGGAUCAUUCUAUUGGUUUCUUACCCUGUCUACUGGCACUCUCAUCCACUUAACUGUGAGCUCCUUUGACCUUUUCCCGCCUCCUGAUGGUUUUGACUACCAGAUGAGUCCAUCUUUCCUGGGCAUCCAGAGAGGUGCCUGGGAUUGGUAGCAGAUCAACAGACCCCUUGUGGCUUGCAGAGAUAACAUUAGAAGGUGGUGGGUCCCAGCCCCACAGCCCAGAGGGGUGAAGCCAAGAGGGGCAGGUGGGGAGUCUGCCUCCCUCCCUGUGUGACUCCCGUGAGUCUCCUGUGAGCCCGACUUCGUUCUCAUCAGAUCAAGAACCUACACCAUCGUGCUUGCUGAGCGCCGGGCUUUGAAUCUGGGUGUGCAUGGGGCCCUGCAGUCCAGGCCUCUCCUCUCACCCACUCCCACCACGUUCUCCUAGAUGCUGGUCUCUAACCUUUCAUUUCUGGCUCAGCAGGGCUGCGAGGGUCCCCAGAACCCCCUGAGCACAGCUCACCAGCUCACAGACCUUGCACACCAGGAGCAUCCUACUGUCCCCGAUCCCCAGGAGACACCACUCCCCACUGGCACCCAUUGAGGACAAGCAGUGGAGGGGCGGAGCUGGAGCCUCCAAAGCUGGCCAUGCAGUGAUUGCUCACCUGUCAGCCCGUUUCCCCAGCCAUCGAUAAAGACCAUCGAUAAUGGUGGUACUCAACUUCAACUCAGAGCUGUUGGGGAACUGGCAAAAGUAACAUGUAAAGCACUGAGAAUGCGCCUGACCCGGAGUGAUCAUGAUGCAGCGCCCUGCUAUAACCAUUGCUAUUUCGAUUGUGACUCUUAGGGUGCCCAGCCCCCUUGCUCACAUUCUUUCUUCCCUCAAAUCUAAGAUCCCUGUGCCUUUCCUCACCUGCCAGCCUUUGGAUUUGCUGAUCCUGUGGCCUAGAGUGUGCUUUUCCCAUUCUCUUCCUGGAGACCCCCUCUUCAUGCCCCAAAGCCAGCACCUCCCCCCUUCAGGCACCCCUGCUGACCUCCUAGGUGGGGUACAGGUGCCCCAAGCUUGCCUGGGAGGUGCAUGGCUAGGCCUUAGGUUGUGGUGUGGAGAGCAGGACAGGGUCUCACAGUGCUGUUCAUAGAAGAGUGUUUACUGGGCACUUACCAUGUGCCGGCUCUCUGGCGAGGGCUUUUCAGUGAGAACCUCAUUUGGUUCCCCCACAUGACCACUGGUGACAGACACUCACCCCACUGACCACACUUCCCCAUCAGGACCCCAGGGAGGGGAAUGCAGCUUGGUCUGGGAUACAGAGCAGGACCAAGAAGCAUCGGUCAUGUCAACAGCUCUCAGGGUGGGUCAGUCACCCUCCCAAGGGUCCCCGAGUCCUUUUCAGGGAUUCCACAAGAUCAGAUUCCUUUUACAACAUAGUAAGCUGUGGUCUGCCCUCUUCACUCGUAGACUCUCAUGAAUAUAUGGUGCGAUUUUCCAAAAGCCUCACGAGGUGCAAUGAUGUCACCACUGAGGGCUAAUGGAGUGUGUGCUUGUGUCUUCUUGUGCUUCAAGAAUUUCUGUUUUAAUUUUCAGUGCGGUAAACAUCGAUUGCUCUAAUCUAUAUGGAUAGUGCUCUUUGGGGGCCUCAGUCAUUUCUAAGUAGGUAAAAGGGUCCUAAGACCAAAAAAAGAAAAAAUUGAGAGCUACUACAUUCAGUGACUAGGAAGGAAAGAAGGGAGAGUGUUCAGCGCUUGGACUCUGUGCAAGGGACAGUGGUUUGGAUGGAAUCCUAAGGCCCACAGGGGAGGAGAAGCUCUGGAGUCCCGGAGAGGCUGGCCUGGCAUUACUCAAAUCCCAUUGCCCCACUAUCCUUGAGCCCACAGAACUGCCCAGAAGCCUUUGACCCAGCGCAGGCGGACACAGCACCACCAACGGCCGGCUGCUCCAAGGUGUUUUCUACAGCAGAACAAUUUGAAAUAAUUAGAACUUUACAAAAUGUCUUUAAACACGCUGGUCAUGGGCAUAAGAAAACACUUGUGAAGUGUAAUCAGUUAUUAGCAGCUGAUCAAUUAUCCCCAUGGAUAGCUGUUGAAGGGGGAGAGGAGAAGCAAUAAUAAGCCCCUUGAUUAACUAAUUUGAAUAUCUUUGGAGAACAAAUUCCGAAAUUUCUUUCUAUUUUCUCAUGCUAUUGUAACGGGCUGCACAUCUGCUGGUAAGGCAAGAUGGAAAUGGUAAUGAGCACUGUGCUGUGAACGGGCUUCUUGUUUGGGAUCCAGGGAGGAGGCCCCGGGGGUUGUGGCCAACCAGCCGGGCCUGGGGACCUCAUGCUGGCUGGAAGGUGGGAAUGGGUGGCUGCGAUUAGCCCUGCCGUGCUAUGCAGCUUGCCAUCUGCCUCCCAGUGGAGUGUCAAGGUCAGAGAAGGUCAGGGGAGCAAGUUCCCGCAGGCUGAACGAGGGCUGAGGUGGGCAGCGCCCUCUGGGAAGCAGCACCGAUUCUCCUGAAGGCCCACCGGGGCCAGCUGGGGCUGGGGCAGUCCCAGGGUAGAGCAGACAGCUCGAGAGACCUAUGUUCUGGUCUCCUGUCAGCCUUGGGCUCCUCCUGAACCUCCCUAGGUGACAAGUUUAUACAAGGCAAGCGGAACAGGUCUGCACAAUGGUAAGGGCUCCCUUGUCCCCAGAGGUCUCUGGUUCCCAUAGGGAGGCAUGGGCACCUCACCCCAGUGGCCACCUCUCUUGCCAUCUUCUUGUGGUUAGAUCGAGAACCGGGUGCCAGGCACGCUGACUCACAGCCAGGUCUGCCACCUCAGCUGUGUGACUUUAGGCCAGUGACUUAAUCUCUCUGCGCUCAGCAUACUCAUCUGUAAACGGGUAAAACACCACUCACCUUGUGGGCCUCUUGGUAGCACAGGUCCACGCGUACUGUAAGCACGAUAAAAAUGUGAGUGGUAGUCGUUGUUAUUCUCUACCCCAUGUAAUUAACAGGCUAGACUGGAGUUUGCAAACUGGCAGGCCAGGGUCCAAAUCCCCCAAUAAAUCUGUUUGGUUUGGCACAAACUGCAUUGUUAGGUUUCUCUCUGAAUUAGUUGCCAAUAUUAAAAUUUGGGAGAUUUUCACAUUUUAAAAAACCUGGAUUUGGGGCUUUUCUGAGAAUCAGACUCCUGCAUAUACACUGGGCCCACAGACCAAGGUGGUGUCAAUGGGCCAGAUGUUCAGUUGAGCAUCUGAACCCCCUAUUAUGGGGCGAUUGUCACCCUGAGCCUUCAUCCCAUGCCAUCACCAGCUGGGCCCCUGUAGUCUCCUUCCUCUAAGCCUCUUGAGGUCAGCUGGGGACAGGUGGGCCGUGUUCCUGAUGUGCCUGGCACCUGUCACAUAGUAGGCACCUACUUACACUUAAAAGAGUGUGCAUUGCCAUUAGAGUCUCACGUAAUGCAGCAGGUCUAUUUAAUGAGGACCCUCAGCACCUGAGGAAGGGUGGCAAACUCCAGCCUCGAUUGUGUCUACUUGGGGUCUCCCAGUUCCCCAGCUCUCCUACCACCCAGUGGCCAUUAGAAGACAAUCUCAUUUUCCACCCUCUUCAUCUCCCUCUGUCUAGUCCUCCCCUCCCCUCUAUAGAUGUCCUAGAGACCCACACACAGUGGGGUCCAGUCGACCACCCUGGGACCUGGUCUGAGGCCCAAAGCACCAGAAAAAGCCACCGAUGGCCCCAGGACUUGCAGCCACUGCUCCCUGUUCAUUUCAUUCAAACACAAGCCUUUUUAAAUUUUUAGUUUGAAGGUAUUUUUUAAAAAUCUGAAACUACCUUUAAAAUCCCUCCUUUUCCCUCCCCUGACUAUUCCUUUGCUUAAAAAUGGCAUAACCGAUUUGGGUUAUUUUUAGAAAAAUGCCUGGCAUGUUGGCUGACAACCUGUAUUCUAAGUUUCAACCUGAUAGGGAAAAGACAGAGUUUAUAAACCUCUAGGGGGGAAAAGAAAAUACACAAAACAUUGCUUUGGAAUAGAAAUCAUUUGAAACUCACCCCAUAUGUCUCAGCCCCUGCGGUGUAACUGGGCACCAGCCACCAGCUUGAGAUUUCAAGGUUAGGGAGUGGAAUUUGUUCUGCUGAGCUUCCAUGCACAUUGCUGGGAGAAUGGGACACAGCAUCUGCAGCCUGAGAGAGGCAAGGUAGACGGGCAUGGGUUUGAGCCCUACUUCACUGUACUCUGUGUCAGUGAGCUGGAGAAAGAAGCACCUUCUCCGAGGCUUCGGUUUUGCUCUUUGGGAUGCGGGGAUGCCAUGACAGACGGGUGCCCAGUGACCUGGCCAUGACGUUGGUGAUUGUCAUGAUGCCACAAUCCACAGACAAGAACUCUGGAAACAAAACUUGGGCAAGCUUUGUGAAUAUGAGAGGCUGCUGAGCAUAGCUUGCCAACUUGAUUUGAGUAUUUUUGAACACCUUUAUUGAAGCAUGAUUUGCAUACUAUGAAAUUCACCAGCAGUACAUGGACAGUACAGUGGUUUUUAGUGUAUGGAUGAAGUUGUGCCACCAUCCCCACAAUCUACUUUUAGACAUUUCCAUCACCUUCUAAAAAGAUCUUCCGUGUCAAUUUACAGUCCCUUUUCAAUUCCACUCCCAGCGCCUGGCAACCACAAAUCUCCUUUCUGCCUUGGUGGAUUUACCUUUCCUGGUCAUUUAGUAUAAAUGGACUCUGCAGCCUGUGGUCUUCUGUACCAAGUUCUGUGCUUAGAAUCGCACUCCCCGGGUUCACUCAUGUUGUCAGGUGUCUGCGUAUUUUGUUCUUUUUAUUGCUAAACGAUAUCCUGAUGUAUGACUAGACCACAUUUUAUCCAUUCAUCAGCUGAUGGACAUUUGGGUUGUUUUCGCUCUUUGGCCAUUGUGACUAGAGCUGCUGUGAACAAUUUGUGUGCAGAUGUUUGUGUGAACAUGUUUCCAAUUCUCUUGGGUAGAGAAGUGGAAACCUGGGUCAUAGGGCACACUGAUGUUUAACUCGUGAAGGAACUACAAAACUGUUUUCCAAAGUGACUGUGCUGCUUUGCAUUCCUCUGGCAGUGCCUGGGUGUGAUAGUGUCUGUCUUCACUGAAAUUUGAGUGUGUGUUUUUGGUCCUUGAUUUCAAUGAGGGUUUGGGCUGGGAAUUCUAGGAGCAAUAGAGCUUGAAGAGGGGACAGGCAAGGGAGAGGGCACAGGACAUGGGUCAAAGCCACAUGUCCUUAGAUGCCCUGAAAUGGCACCAUCCUACGGAACUUUUAUGAUGAUGUAAGCAGUGUGUAUCUUAACUUCCAAUAUGGUAGCCACAGCAACUGUGAUUAUUGAGCACUUGAACUAUAUGACAUAUGGGAGGAACUGAAUUUGUGAUUGUAUUUUACUUGAGCUCUUUUUUUAAGACAGGGUCUUACUAUGUUGCCCAGGUUGGCCUGGAGCUCUUGGGAGUCUCCUGCCUCAGCCUCCUGAGAAGGUAGGGCUACAGGCAUGGCCCAGCACCCAGCCCACUUAAGUUCACUUUGAUGUUUUAAAUGUAAAUAACCAUAUGGUGACCUUAUUGGGUGGCUCCAUUCUAGAAGCUCAGGGUCACGGCUCAGUGGGUUCUACACCUUUGAGGAUUGGUCAGAGUUCCAUUCUCGUGAUCAUAGACAGCUGG
rnacentral:lncRNA from 1 species